rnacentral:lncRNA from 1 species
UUAAAUUCAAUUAUAAUGAGUUUUUUGAACCCCUCGAACGAUGUGUGAAGCUCAGUCUCUUUUAUAUAAAUGACAUGUCGUAUCCACAUUACAUAUAUAUGUCAUGUCAUAAUUAUUUUUAAAAUUAUUAUUAAUCAAAUUGUUUCAUAAAAGAAAAAGAAUAAAUAUUUAUUAUAUUUUUUUUUACAGUAGAACUCUAUUACUCUCUCAAUCUCUCCUACUCACACUAUUUCACAGCCAAAAUCGUCGCCGAAAAAUCAUUUUUUCCGGCGAUACCACUCAUAUUCUCACCCUUACCUGUCUUCAUCUCCUUCGCACAUCAUCAUCAUUUUCCUUUCCUCUUCCAAUCUCCCCAAAACCAACAAUCUAAGCCACCAAUCAUCAGAUUUAGCCGAACACUAUCACCAUUUUGCCUUCAUUUUGGACGCACACCAUCACCAUUUUUGCCUCCAACCCUUAAAGAUAAUUUAUUUAUUUAUACUUUCACUAUUCCAAGAAUCUUGAUCUAUCUCUGCUUCAUUCAAUGGCACCCUGAUACUCUUUCCUAGUACUCUGUUUUGCGUUCAGGAUGCAAGUGAAACUAUUAAAGAUGAAAGUUUUUUGCAAUUUCUGCAGUAGCAUCUCUACUUUAGCUCUUAGUUGCCUCAGUCAUCGUUUCCAUCAAAAAAGAUCCAAUCUUUCUUUUAUUGCCAAUAAUCGGACCUUUAUUGAUUCUAUUUUUCUAUUUGAGCAACUGUUGAUAGUAGCAGUAGUAAUAGUGGUGGUGGCACUAAGGAUGAAAUUCCAAGAAGGAGAAGAGAGAAAGGGGGUUGAGGCAGAGGAGAGACGGGUGGGAGUGGUGUGGGAGAGGGAUGGUUGAGGAAUAUGAGUUUUAAUUUAUUUUUAAAAAAAAUGAUAUUUAUUAUUUUUAUUUAGAUAUUUUGAUAUAAAAUACAUUUCACUCGCUGUCAAACGCUUGUUGUUAUGUAAAUUUUUAACUCAGCAUUAUCAAUGACACAUAAGUUCGGUCAAUGGUCAAAGGGGUUUAAAAUAUUAUGUUCUGAUGAGUUUAGGGGUUCAGUUGACAAAUAUGUAAGUAGAAGGGUUCACAAUACAAACGCAUCCAAAUACAAGGGUCCACCAAACUAUUCCGCCUAAAAAAAUUAUAGGUAUUAAUCUUUUAUUCGUUUUCUUUUCCGUUCCAUAAACAUUUUUUCUCUUUUUUUUUAACCAAACAAAUUAGAAUCAUACAUUACACGUUGAUAGGUUUUUUUCUUACAAACGAUAAAAGAGUAAGAAUAAAUUUUAGAAAUAGCAAAGAUAAAAAUUAUAUUAGUAUAUUAUAACUAUAGUUUUGUUGUUUAUUCUCUAUAGUCAAAUUAUAUUUGUUAUGGAGCAUCUAAUUUGUACGAAUUGGGUGCUAAUUCGUCUGUGUGAAUGAAAAUUGGUUUAGAUAUGUAUAUGUUAUAUGUGUUAGGCUAGAGUAGCGAUUGCGAGAGAGUGGAGACAAGAGAGGUGAAGUAUAUAAAUAUAGCAGUUAGACAAUUGUAUAUAUGUAUCACUGAUUGAUAUAGAAUCACUUGAUACAUGUUGUUUGUGUGCUUCUUGUUGACGAGCAAACAUGAAUUGAAUUUUUUUGAACAAUUUUUCGUAAAAAUUGUAUUUUUAUCUCGGAGCCUUGAAGGAAAGAAAAACCGUUCAUAACUCUUGUUUUGAGUGAAAGAGAGAUCAAUGGCCCGCACCACAUUCAAGAAUAGUGACAAAAUCUAAUUCAGAAUUGAUAUAAAAUUACAGAAUGCACAUUGUUGGUAAACAUUCUACUCAAAAUUCAGUUUAAAUUUGAUUAUUUCUAAUAUUCUAGCUACGCAAGACGUAUAUUGCACGUAUAUGCCAUAUUAUGUAGUAGAUAAAUGUCACAGCAUAGAGUUACAUUAUUUAAAUAAUAAUUUCAAAUAGAAACUAACAUUAACAUCGGUAUAACUAUUUUAAAAAUAAAAAAAUCAAAUAUAAUACUGAGUAUGAUAAAUAUUCUAUUUAUUCAAUUUUAUAUAAAUUUAAGUAAAUAUACGUGCACACUUAAAGUUAGAAGCAUAUAUUUUAGUUAAAACAAAUCAAACAACAUAUAUAAUACAUAAACACAAUCUUUAACUUGGCUUUAGCGGACAAUUAUGUCUCUAACUUUAGUUAUGCACAAAUACAGAGUUAAACUUAUAUAAAAUUGAACAAGUAGACAUACAUGUUUUUACAUGUCAUAAUACAUGUAGGACACCACGUAGGACACACAAUCGUCAUUUAGAGUAUCAUAUAUAACAAAUGUGUUCAUUUGUUCGAUUUUAUACAAGCUUAAGUGUCUACUUGUAUAAAUCCAAAAUUAAAUGUUAUAAUUGACCGUUGACGCCAAGUUAAUAGUCAAGUUUAUGUAUUCUUCCUACAUAAUAUAUAGGAAAAAGAACAAAUAUAACUUUGAAUUAUCGUAAAUGAUACGCAGAUAUCCUCCACCAUAUUUUUGGGAAAUUGGUGCCCCUUACAACAUAGGCAUAAUACAUAUAUUAGACCCUAAACUUGACUUCAAAUUUUAACUUUGACCUUCAACUUUCAUAACGCACAAACAAACACUUAAACUAUCCAACUUUUAAAUCAAUAAACACAUGAGUCCUACAUGUCACAAUACACGUACCACGUAUGACAAAAAAUGACAUGUGGGAUGACAUGUAGGACAUGUGUGUUUAUUUGUUCAACUUUAUACAAGUUUAAGUGUCUAUUUGUGCACAUCUAAAGUUGAAGGACAUAAAUGUGAUUUGAAGCCAAGUUAAAGGGCAUAUUUAUGUAUUAUGCCUACAACAUAUAUGCCCUUUACUCUAACAGAAGAUUAAAUAGGGACACGUGACACAACCUUAUUAGUUAAUUCGAUAUUUAAUAAAUAUUGGAUCGAUAGAGAAGAUUAUGACACAUAUAUAUCGAUUAAUAUAAAGGGUAUCUGCCAACUGCAUACCAUAUUUAUUAUAGUUGGAUAUAUAAUACAUAAAUAUACCCUUUAACUUGGGUUUGAUUCACAUUUAAGUCCUUCAACUUUGAGUGUGCACAAAUAAACACUUAAAUUUGUAUAAAGUUAAACAUGUCUUACAUGUCAUUUUUUGUCCAAUGCGUAUUGUGUCAUGUAGACUCAUGUAUUUAUUUAUUUAAAAUGUCUAUUUUGUGCAUUAUAAAAGUUAUAAGCAAAAAAUUAAAAUUUAAACUCAAAUUUAAAAUUCAAUAUAUGUAUUACGCCUUGUGCUUUUUCCUAUUAUAUAUAAACAAAAAUCUUUUACGCGGCGCAAAGUCAUUGCUUUUACACUCCACACCCUAACUGCCUCACCGUUCUAAAUUCACAGAAACCCCGUUAUUCAGCUCCACAAAAUCCUCCUUUUUAACUUCUUAUUUCCUUACUACUUUGAUCUCUCUGAAUUUUCGUUCUUCUUCAAACUUAAUACUCUCUCUCUGUACAAUCAAUAUGGUGAGUCUUCGAUUUUUUCUAUUGUAUUUUUUUUUACUUUCAAAUAAGCAUAAUUACUUUUCUAUUGUGUUGUAUGAUCGUUGUUUUUUUUUUUUGGAUUUUGAUACGUGAUUUAUCUGAUCAGAGAGAAGCUAUUUGGUUGUUCAUCUAAAUUGUGAAUUUUGUAGUUGCUUGCAUUUGCAUUUGCAUGGUGUUUAGUCUGAUUAAUUUGGAUUCGCGCCGCAUAGGGCUUGUUUUGGGAAAACACUCUAUACUGAGUAUUUUCCAUAUGUAGGAUCGAUAUUGAGAUCUCGUUAAGGGAGUAGCAGCAGAGCCAUACGCUGCACCACUUCCUUUAGUGGUGAUUUUUUUAGAAUAUUUUGAGAUUAGCUGUGUGGGAGAUCUUGUAGAAAUUCAGGAUUGAUUCAAUUAUAUAUUGCUUAGUUGAACAUUUUUGAUUCAUUUUCAUCUGGGUUUAGCUGAAAAAGUGAGCUGGUAUAUAAGGUGUUUGAUAAUUUGAUUGAUCUACUGACUUUGUUACACAUCGUUUAAUUCCCCUUUAUGAACAUGGAUUUGUACUCUUUCAAAUUGAGUGGAUUUUUGGACUUAUAAAAAAAGUAAACUAUAUAGUAGGAUUUAUGUCUUUGAGAUGUUGUUCCUGUAGCACCCAAGGGUGUAACUUAGUGGUCAAUGACGUGGGUUGAGCAGCAUGAGGUUUCAGGUUCAACUAGGUGAUUUCUUCCUGUAUGUACAGAGUUAGGUGGCAGGUCCAUCCCAAUACCAUGGUUAUCAAGAAAGCUGAAAAAAAAAUGUUGUUCCAUGUAUAAUGGAACCUAGUUACCCUAGUCUACUCUAUAGUGAAUAGGAUGAUUGAUCUCUGCCUAUUCCUUUAAAACGAUUAUGAGUAUUUUUUAUUUUUUAUUUUUGUUUUAGAGUUUAAUUCAAUCCAGCUAUUACCAGUCUGAAAUAGCAAUGUAGUGUACUGAAAUAUUUAGGAAGAUCACUGUUUUUUAUGAUGUCUUCGCCUGCAUAUUUUCCUUGUAACUAUGGCCCAUGGAGUUCGAGUCAGCUUGUGUCCAUCUCGACUUAUUUCAUAAUUACGUGUUACCUCCCGCCAACACAUGUAUUGGAUAACUCUGCCCUAGGAUUGAACAUAUGAAAAGAAAUCACCUUAUGUUUUUCUCUUCAGCAGAUUUGAACCUGAGACGUCAUGGUUCUUAACCACUCAGCUUUGUUAUGAUGUCUUCACUUGCAUUUGUUGCCAAAACCUUUAUCCCCUCCACUCUCCCUGUCAUCCAUUUUAAAAAGUUUAUCUCAAAAUGAAACAACGGGGUGAGAUAGGUGUUAUUCUGUAUUCUGGAUGGUGUUCAGACAGACAAUUGCUGCUGCAUAGUAAUGCAAUGGCCUGAUAAGUUACGAAUAACCUAGUGAACAUGUCUCCAUCACCAACCAUGAGUUUUGGGAUUCAAAUUACCAUAGGGAAAAGAAGAUAGAAAUAGAGUAGAAUUUGAAUUCUACUGGUUUAGGGGUGUUGAUUGAUCAACUAGAUGCAAUCAAAACUUAUCUUGAAGGUCCAUUCCAUUUAUAUUCUUCAGCUAUUUUUUAAUUGCAUUAUAAUUUUUGAGCUAUAGAUGCUCAUGUGAUCAAUUAUAUGUGGAAGUUUUCUAACAUGAUUGGGGGAUGUGAUUCUUCUUACUAUAGGCUAACGCAGCAUCUGGGAUGGCAGUGCAUGAUGACUGCAAAUUAACGUUCUUGGAGCUGAAAACAAAAAGAACUCACCGAUUUAUUGUUUUUAAGAUAGAAGAGAAGCAAAAGCAAGUUGUGGUUGAAAAAGUUGGUGAGCCAACUCAAAGCUAUGAGGACUUUGCUGAAAGUCUUCCUGCUGAUGAAUGCAGAUAUGCUGUCUACGAUUUUGACUUCGUAACUGAGGAAAAUUGCCAAAAAAGCAGGAUCUUUUUCAUCGCAUGGUAUUCAAAAUGUUCCUAGGCAUUUUAAUGGAUACGAUAGAGUCACACCAAUUUUGUCUCAUUUGUGGUUUUUCUUUGUUAAGGUCCCCUGACACAGCAAGAGUGAGAAGCAAGAUGAUCUAUGCCAGUUCAAAGGACAGAUUCAAGAGAGAGCUUGACGGAAUUCAGAUUGAGUUGCAGGCUACUGAUCCAACUGAAAUGGAACUUGAUGUAAUUAAAAGUCGUGCAAACUAGGUAUGGAUGAUUAGAUACCAGAUAGACCUGUAAAAGGGAGAAUCUUGAUGCAAUCAUCUUAUUUAAACUGUUCAUAGCUUGUGGGACAAAAACUGGCUAUAUCAGUACCAAGCGUUACAUUUUGAUUCUUGAACGAGCUUUAUGGUGGGUGGUCUAAUAUAAGAUGUGUUUAAUUUGAUUAGAAAUCAUUCAUCUGAGUGUUUAAUUUGUUGCUUGAUUCUACGAGCUACUCGUAAGUAUUCUUUGUGAAGGAUCAGACAUGAUAAAAUUAUUUUUGAACUUUGACUGAUAUCUUACCCUAAGAUUUUGGUUCUGGAGUUUGAGGAGAUGUAAAUAACAACUGACGAUUUCGCAUUUGGAGAGUGCUUCCUCAAACUAUGGAUCAUAUUUAUAAGAAUGGUAGCAGUUCAAUGAGAUACUCUAUUCUUUUAUCAAAUAAAAAUUGUAGAAACUAAUUCUUUUUGAUGUCCUUGUAUUGACUUAUUCUUCAGAUUGUUUAAUAUUGCAAAUAGCUUACUUUGGAGCCCCGACUAAUUUUGUAUCUAAGUCAAGUAAUACCAUUUGGGUAACGUUCUAGCAACUAUGCUGAAAGGAACUUUACCAAGCAGCAACUUUAUUCUGCUUACAAUGAUUUGGGCUGAUCUCUAUGUCAAAGGACAUACUAGUUGCUCUCUGUAGCAGGCAAAAAUAGUAUUUUGAGAAGGCUGCAGACAAUGGAGAGGCUGGUCUUAAGAAGAAUGUUCCACUGGUGACUACUAUUAAGGAUUCGUUGGAUAGAAUAUAUUAGAAAAACUAAUAAAUAUAUUAGCUUUGUGUAUUGGUAGUACUUUAAAAUGUUACAUACUCGUAAUAUGCGUUAUAAUAUUACCAGAGGGAGAUGUAUCAAAUACAAUGCCAACCAAUCAUUACUUGUAUUAGAUUGUAUCCAUGAUUGUUUUUUCAAUCUUGUAUGAGUUAAUUAUUUAUCUUUGCUAUGGAGUCUCAUUGUUCAAUACAAGGGUAAAAUAUAGUGAUGCAAUUCAUGAAUAAGAAAAGGGAUGCAGAAUAGAGAAAGAAAUCUAUAUAUAAUAUAAAGCUGAAUAAAAUCAUGUUGAUGUGGCAUGCUUCAUUGAUCAACAUACUGUAUUAUUUUAAUUUUUAGAAUUUUAAUUUUUUUUCUCUCAUUUUUUGUUCAAUAACCUUUAAAAAUAAUUAUCCACUUUCCUAAUUAUUAGCCUUUAGUACAUUUAACUCUUCCUUUCAAAAGGAAAUAUGUAACAUCUAAAUACAUAAUAGUGUAAUUAAUGUGCAUGAUCACACAUCUAAAUACAUAAUAUUCAUACCUUCUUAGACAUUUUCUUUGGAGUUUCAUGUAAGUAUUUUUUUUUCAUAUUUUCUUAUACCUUUUUGGAGGGUUUCAUGUAAUUUUUUUCUCUCUCUCUUUCAUCUUCUUCCUAUUAUUUUAUCCAUCCAUGAUCUUUAUUUUUUAUGUAUAUAUAUUAGCAUCCUUUUAAACAGGAUAAUUAUUAUGAAGCUUUUUAUAUGAAGAGCAAAAGAGGUAAGCUAAGAGUUUAUUUUAUCUAUUCUUGAUUAAUUUUUAAUGUAUGUAUAUAUGUUAAGGAUAUUACCAUGGAGCUUUUUUAUAUAAGCCAAUAGUUUUUUUUAUUAUAAUAAUAAUAAUUAUUAUUAUUUUAUUAUUAUCAUUUUAAUGUACGGCAUGCCUCAUGAUCACAAAAGGUAUUUGUCUAUUUACUUAAGAUCUAUGCAUUUUUCUCUAUUUUUACACAAUUGUAUUAUUAAUAAUUAUUAAUUAAUGAUCAAUUAUACCUUGCUACAAAUAAAAAAUUUCAAAGGCUAUCAUUUUGGCAUUUUAAAAUUAUACUCAUUUCAUUCCUCGUAAUCAAUAUUUACUUUCCCAUAAUUAGUGUGCUUAAUUAUGGAAAAAAUGGUUAUGGAUACAGAAUUUCAAUAAUAAUAAAAAAAGAAAUGCAUCCACUUAAUUGCAACUCUUUGAUGAAAUAGAUAAUGCAACGUUUCAGAAUUUUACUAUCAAAUGAACUACUUCAAAAUUCUAACACAAUUUCUCUAUUUUUCUUUCUGCGCUUAUUUUAUUUUUACCCCUAUUUGUUCAUUUUAUAUCUCUUCCUUUAUUCUCUCUCAAUUUAGUAUUACGAUAUCUUAAUUGUUGUCUUUAUUUUUAUUUACCUCAAUAAAUUUUAAUUUAUAUAUCUUAUGAAGAUAAUACUCUAAUUAGACGUUAAUUAUUUGCAAGUUAUAUAGAUAUUAUCUCUUUAUUGAUUUAUGAGAGGAGUUGAAAUAUGAAGUGUAAGCAGUUGUUUUAUCAUUCUUUUGGUUGGUGUCCAAAUUUUACCAAAAAAAUUAAUACUUUAACUUUUCAACACAAAUAUUUCUAAAAGUUAUAUAGUGACUUAUCAUUAUAAAUUGUACAUAAGGUUUAUAAAUUGUAAUUACGUAAUAAUUAGUUUUUCGUGAAUAAAGAAAAUAUGAUUGUCGUUUAAAUUUCUUAUUGUAGAUCACAUAGAUAUAUGAUGUUACUAAGAAUACGAAGUUACUGACUUUUCGUUAUUGAUUAGAAUUAUUACUCAUCUAACUGGUUCAUUGUAAAUUAAAAUUUUCUUCCAAUGGUCAAUUUACUCUUUUCACUACAAAUUAUAUGAAAAUGUAAUAUUAUCAGCGAUAACAUAUUUAGAAAGAGAAGAUUUAUCAACUAAGCAAGAUAAGCUUCAUUCAAGUGUGAUUUUCUUUUUGCAAAUCAGUAAAUACACUCAUGUUCAUCUCUUUUUGUAUUUUAUUUUUUAUAAAACACAAUAGUGAAAAAAUAAUAUGAGAGAUGGAGCAAUAUUGUGGUGGACGACUAAGAAUUCUAUUUUGAAAUUGCUUACGAAAAUAUUUGUAAAAGUUUCUUAUUUACUUGUAAUUAUUUAUGCAUUGAAGCAAUAAAUGGAUACUAGGUUGUUAUAAUUAGAGAGAAAAAUAAUAAUUAAACAAGCAACUAUAUAAAAUUAAAUAAAUUUAAAUUUGAUACAACUAAAAAUAAAAUGUCCAUUUUAUUCUUUUUGUUUAUAUCACAAAAACUUACAAAUUUUUUUUUUAAUAUUUGACAUUCACCUUUUAUAUGUUUGCGGGAUGAAAUAUUCAUGACCUUCUAAAAUAGAAAAAAUUACAAAAAAUAAAAAUAAGAAAAGUUAUGUAUGUGAAUAUGUAUAUACUCGGAAAAUUUUAUAGUUAUAAUUCAAAUAACAAGUGCAUGAGAGAUAACAAUAUCGUUAAAUAUUUAAAAGAUAAAACAAAAGUUACCAAGUUUAUGUAAAGGUGGAAUUAAAGGAAAUAAUGGUUUGUAAAGUUGUAGAGAUAAAAAAACAAUUGUAAUGAUAAAUUUUGCUAAAUGAAGUAAAAUUUUACCAGAAAUAUUAAACCCGCGCGUAGCGCGAUCAAAUUCACUAGUUGAGUAAUAAGAGAAAUAUAAAAUUUUAAGCAUAGCUAUGUUAGGUAGUAAUAUUUUAAAAUCAUAGUAAUUAUAAUAACGAUUUUUCCUUACAAAAUUUAGGGAAAAGACUCAAAUAUGUCAUUAAAUUUUCAGAAAAGACUUUAUGCCCUCAGUUAAAAGUUUGUCUCAUUUAUGUCAAUACCGUUAAAAAAAACACUCAUUCAUGCCAUUAUUUUUUAACAGUGAUUUUGCAAAAUCAUUGUUAAAAAAUAAUAAUGAGCAUUUUUUUUAACGAUAAUGACAUAAAUAAGCUAAAUUUUUAACCGAUAACAUAAAUGAUCCUUUUUUAAAAGUUCGAUUAACAUAUUUGAGGCUUUUCCCAAAAUUUAAUAUGACUGCGCUUUUACAAAAUUGGAUUGCAACCCUAAAUUCCAAUUUCCAAGAGACCAAGAGGUAAGAAAAAACCGGGUUAAUUAAACCGGAGCUAACAUACUAGACCCGGUCUUAAUAAAACUACCGAAAACUAUAAACCCCAACAUCUCAUCCUUUAAACUUCUUCUUCUUCUUCUUCGCAGGUUUUAGGGCAAAAUGAUAUAGCGGCCGAUUAAAUAGAUCGAAAUCCAGGUAUAUAUCAAUUCCUCUAAUUGUUUCAUAAUUUUGUAUAGCAAUGUUGCUAGUUUUCACAUGUUUUUCUAUUUUUUUGUCCCUUAUUGAUGAUUUUUUUUGUUUAUAAUUGGUAGUUUUAGCAUAUAGAACUCUCUAUACAGGUAUGUGCAUUAACAUGCAAAUAAUGCAGUUGGAUCAGUAAUUUUUGUAUUUUUUUGUGAAUAUUUUGCGGAGUUUGUGAUGUAAAAUUUCAGAUUUGAAGUUGAAUUUUCAUCUUAGUUUAUUAGUAAUAAUGAUCUUUUUCACAUUAUUUCGUUGUUGUUAAUGCUAUUAUUUUUGUAUUCCAUCUUUUAGACGGCUUUGAUAUGCUGUGUUUUAAGCAUAUCCUAAUUUGUUUUGAAAAUGCAUUAUUAUUUACUAGCUUGAACCACAAAUUGAGGCGUAGUUGAUUAUUAAAUAUUGUUCAUAUGGAUAGUUGUGUGAGGAUUGAGAUCGUUUUGUCAUGCAGAUUUUUUUUUCCAGUUUGUAAAAUUGAGAUGGAAAGAAAAUAGUUGUUGUUCUUCUUCUACAUUUGUGUUCUAAACUUGUUAGUUUUCUGUAACUUCGCAAAAUCUGUGGUGCCUUCAGUUUUUUCACCCAGUGAAAGAUUUCAAGGAACUCUUUUAUGUUUUAAAACAAUGAGUGUUGCUGUUUGUUUUUAGCAAAAAAGACUAUAAUUUUUUAUUUUUUUUUGGCUCAUUGUAAAGGAUUAUUUUUAGCAGUUCCUUGACACAUGAUUCAAGUAUUUAAUGGUCAUAUUGUUGUUAUUUGUUGUUGGAAGAUUUUGUCUAAUCUUCUUUCAUCUAACUAGUCAUCUUCAGGUGAAAGGUCUAGCUUUCUAGAUCCUCACAAUGGCGAAUUUUGCCAAACCUGAGAGUGCUUUGAAGCGAGCUGAAGGUUAGUUGUUUCUGUCAUAGUCUUUUUUUUGGGUGGGUGGGUGGGUCAGUGGGGUUGGGGGAUGGAGCGUUUAGUACACUAAGUGUCUUAAAUGUUUUGUAUUAGAAUAGUUACAAGCACAGAUUAUGUCUUUAGGUUUGCUGUAUUGGUAGUAUUGGGCAAUCAAAAGCACUCACUUAUUCUCUUUAAUCAUUCCUGAGCUUAUUCUGAUGUAGAGCUGAUUAAUGUUGGACAAAAGCAAGAAGCCUUGCAAGCACUUCAUGAUCUUAUUACAUCAAGGAGGUAUAGAGCAUGGACAAAGACACAUGAGAGAAUAAUGUUCAAGUAUGUAGAGUUAUGUGUUGACAUGAGAAGGGGGAGGUUUGCCAAGGAUGGCCUAAUUCAAUAUCGUAGUGUCUGUCAACAAGUGAACAUUAGUUCACUGGAGGAGGUGAUAAAGCAUUUUAUGCAUUUAGCCACUGAGCGAGCUGAACUGGCUCGCAGUCAAGCACAGGUCUUAGAGGAAGCUCUGAAUGUGGAAGACUUAGAAGCUGAUAAAAGACCUGAAGAUCUAAUGCUGAGUUAUGUUAGUGGGGAGAAAGGUAAAGAGAGAUCUGAUCGUGAACUGGUCACACCCUGGUUUAAGUUCUUGUGGGAGACAUAUAGAACUGUUCUAGAGAUCUUGCGCAAUAAUUCAAAGUUAGAGGCUCUGUAUGCUGUAAGUACCCCUACCCCUCUCCAUUUCUUUCUUUCUUUAUUUGUUAUUCUCCUUUUCUUCUAGUAUUUUGGAGUCAAACUCAUACCGUGUUUAUGUCGGCACAUGAGGGAUUUGGUUAUCCUAACUUUUCAGUAUCUUGUUUAGAUAGUAAGUUACUGAGCAAGUUGUUUCAAUGCCAUUAAAAACCAUCGUAUUGUCGCUUAAAGUGAUAAAUUGAUACAAAGUGAGGCGCUUCAUGGAAGUAUGUGUUCAAACAAUAAUGACGAUUUGAAUCUCAACUCAAGAGUUGGAUAACUAUUGCACUGUUGUACAUUGGAUGUUGAGAUUAAUUGUUUUGAUCGCAAUUUGAUUAUUAAUGGUGCUAAAUUCAUACAUGUGAUAUAAUUUUCUCUAAACUGUGCGCUUCACUUUUUUGCUUGUAUUUUUCGUAUCAAACACCAUGGACCUUGUUUCUGUUAGAAUUAGUAGGUUGAUUAUCCUCUUUCUUUUUCUUGCUUGCUUUUGAGUCUUUUUUUUUUUGAAACAGGAUUUUUGAGUCAGUAGUCUGCAUGCACUAUGAUUUUACUUGCUUCUACUACUGAUUGCAUUUAUUUAUCUUGAUGUGCUGGGCUUCUAUCUGACAACAUAAAUUGUUUAAUCAGAAAGCUGUUUUUCUGGUAUUAUUGUGCUUCUUGCUUAAAAUCAUAGGGUGGGAUCUUGUUUGCAACUUAAAAGUUACAGCUAAAUCCGGUUUGUCCUGUGUGCCAUUUGAGCUUGCUGCAUCGUUGUUGAGUGUUGACAAUAAUUCUAUAUCUGUACCAAGUGGAUUUUAUGAAUAUAUUUUGUUGGUGCGACAAAUGAAAUUGAAUUAAGCUCUCUUGAUAUGCUCAGAUGACGGCGCACCGUGCCUUUCAGUUUUGUAAGCAGUACAAACGUACAACAGAGUUACGUCGACUCUGUGAAAUCAUACGGAAUCAUCUGGCAAAUCUUAACAAGUUUAGAGACCAGAGGGACCGUCCGGAUCUGUCCGCUCCAGAAAGCCUACAGUUGUAUCUGGACACAAGAAUUGAGCAACUCAAAGUUUCAACAGAACUUGGACUUUGGCAGGUGUCUAUUAGUUUCUCUGAUAUCAUAUACAAUAUUUAGAUAGGGGAGGCGUAGAAUUUUCAUACACUUGCAACGGCCUUUUGAGAUUGCUUUGAGGUGCAUGAAUUUGUUUGUCACUUUUUUAUUUGGACAUUACGCAGGAAGCCUUUCGUUCUAUUGAAGACAUAUAUGGAUUGAUGUGCAUGGUCAAGAAAAUUCCUAAACCAUCACUGAUGGUUGUGUACUAUGGCAAGCUAACAGAAAUAUUCUGGAUGUCAUCAAAUCAUCUUUAUCAUGCUUAUGCAUGGCUCAAACUCUUUUCUCUUCAGAAAAGUUUUAAUAAGAACUUAAGCCAGAAGGAUUUGCAGUUAAUAGCAUCAUCUGUUGUUCUAGCUGCACUGUCUGUGUCUCCUUAUGAUAAGUUAUAUGGUGCAUCCCAUCUGGAGCUUGAAAAUGAGAAGGAGAGGAGUUUGAGGUUGGCCAAUCUCAUUGGCUUUGAUGUUGAAGCCAGAUCAGAGAAGAAAGAAGUGGUAAUUUUUUAAAUUUUAUAAAUAGGGAAGCAGUAGAUCAAUGUUGGUUUCUUAUAAAACAUUUGUCUUGAUUUUACUUUCUCACCUUCAUUUCCUUUCUGCUUUCUCAUUUCAGCUUUCCAGGUCGUCAAUACUCUUGGAAUUGGUAAGCCAAUCCCCAAAUAAAUUCUUUUCUUUUCUUGCACAUUGGUGUCUUUUUGAAUUUAAUAUAUAGAACGAUAGGUGUGGUGUUAAAUUACUGUGUAUUUGUACAGAUGAGGCUCGUGUUGUACUGUUAGAUUGAUCUUCCAUUUUUAAUUAUUUAAUUGUCUUGCAGUUCCGGUUGUUUUUUCUUAAUUUCUUUUCACGGAUAUAGGUGUCCAGAGGUGUGAUGGCCUGUGUUACUCAAGAAGUAAAAGAUCUUUAUAAUCUGUUGGAACAUGAGUUCCUUCCUUUGGAUCUGGCACUGAAAGUGCAACCCUUAUUGAAAAAAAUCUCAAAGCUUGGGGGUAAGCUAUCUUCAGCUGCUUCAGUUCCUGAAGUGCAACUGUCCCACUAUGUUCCAGCUUUGGAAAAGCUUGCAACUCUGAGGUUGCUCCAGCAGGUUCUCGCGUUUAACUUUAGAGUCCUUUGUUAUUUGACAUUUUUUUGCUACUCUGAGGUUGCUCCAACAGGUUCUCGGGUUUAACUUUAUAGUCUUUGUUAUUUGGCAUUUUAUCUUACAUUUUAACUAACUUAGAGUGUGGUUAUUUUGCUUCUUUUUAUGUUUGCAGGUAUCUCAGGUGUACCAGACAAUCCAGAUUGGUAAUCUGUCUAAGAUGAUUCCAUUCUUUGAUUUUGCUGCUAUUGAGAAGAUUUCUGUUGAUGCUGUUAGACAUAAUUUUGUAGCCAUUAAAGUUGAUCACCUUAAUGGUUCUGUCUUAUUCGGUAAACAGGUACAAUUGUAUUCACCGGAUGUUCCUCUUCUCUAUGCUCCUAAGUUGGUUGUGAGAUAUCCUGUCCGCCUUACCAUUAUUUGUGCUGAGCUACAUGAUUUCUUUUCCCUAUUUGAAUAAAACCAUUUACUUAGUUCACUACUUUUAUUUUCUUGUUUUGUUUUCUAACAGUUCUGGUAGGUUAUAUCUUCUACUUCUUGCUACACAUGAACAAAAAAACUUGGGAGAAAGUAAUGGUACAUCUAGGGAUCAAAUGUAUGGGCUUUAUCUUAAGUUUUUGCUAUGUAAAUGAGUGGGUGUCUGUAAGUGUCCGUCAAACGCUAAAGCUAGCACCACAAGUACAUAUCUUGCUUGCUAGAUUGAAUAUGGGCCGAAUGGUGUAGGAUAGUUCUUGGAAGUUGUUUGACUUUUGAUGUAGAGUUUUUACAGCAUAGCACUUUGUGCUGCUUCUGGAUUUUGGGACAUGGGGAUGUGCGUCAAGUGAGAAGUUCCUUCUGUUCUUUGUUAAGUUUAGCCUUGUACCUCUGUGGUUUAAUACAUUGAACAAGUGUUGCAGAACAUUUCUGUGUGUGUUUCCUAAAUGCUUAUGUGAAAAGAUUUGGGUAAUCCCAAUAAAGUUUUGUAUACUUUUCUUGGUGCAUCUUCUUCGCAUAUAUACUGUCAUGCCUAGCAGCUUUAUUUUGGAAUUGUAGGGGGUGGAGGGCCAGACCUAGCCUUUACCUCUUUCAUUUUAACCGUAUUUAUUUUUUUAAAUUCGGGAUUGAUUCUCUUCUCCUCUCCUUUGCCUUCCGUGGACAUAGAAAAAUUAGAAUAAUUUGUUGCAUUUCCAUUUUUAUAUUUGUUUCUAGAGUAUUGAGGCUGAAGGACUCCGGGAUCAUUUGUCACUUUUUGCUGAAUCCCUUUGCAACGCAAGGUUAAUGAUCUAUCCCCCUGCGAAGAAAGUUGCCAAGCUUGGGGAUGCCCUCUCUAAUUUGGCGGAGAUAGUGGAGAAGGAGCAUAAGAGACUCCUGGCACGGAAGUCCAUAAUUGAGAAGCGCAAAGAAGAGCAAGAGCGCUUACUCUUGGAAAAGGUAUUCCCUUUUUGAGGGUGUUGGAGUUUCAUGCUAUCAUUGUUUUCUUGGUUGAUGAAUUUCUGUUGACAUUUCUUGAAGGAACGAGUGGAAGAGUCAAAGAGGCGAGAACAUCAGAAGAUGACAGAAGAGGCCGAGCAAAAAAGGGUUUCUGCUGAGCUAGAGCAAAGAAGGAACCAAAGGAUUCUGAAAGAGAUAGAGGACAGAGAACUCGAAGAGGCCCAAGCAAUGCUGCAAGAAGCUGAAAAGCGCAGCAAGAGGAAGAAGAAACCAGUCUUAGAUGGAGUACAUACAAAAUUUGGACCUUUUUUGGUUUAUUUAUUCAGAUCUCUAUAGAAAUUCUUACUAAUGUUAACCUAAGUGCAGGAAAAGAUGACCAAAAAGGAUAUCAUGGAGUUGGCAUUACAUGAGCAACUCAGGGAGAGGCAGGAAAUGGAGAAAAAAUGGCAGAAGUUUGCCAAAGUAAUGGAUUAUUUGGAGAGAGCGAAGAGAGAAGAAGCAGCGCCUCUUAUUGAAUCUGCAUUUCAACGGCAUUUAGCUGAAGAGGCUACUCUUCAUGAACGUGAGCAGCAGGUAUGCAUAGAAUUAGCAUUUGUUUUGCCUAACCACCAUUAACAACCUAUUGUUUGACAUUUUCCUUGAAUUCUUUCUGAAGGAACUAAAUUUUGGUAUUUCUUUUUGGUCAAAUGUUGUUGAUUAAUGGAUCUGGAUUUACAACAAUCUUGCAGCAAGAAAUUGAAUUGAGCAGACAACGACAUGGUGGGGACCUUGUAGAGAAGAGUAGGCUGGGCCGCAUGUUGGAGAAUAAGGUCUCUUAAUCUUAAUUUUUUUUAUUUGGUUGCAUUAUGUAUUUGUGUCUUAGGACUAUGUAUUUGAGCUUAUGGUUGUAAAGGGGCACUGCCUUUGAUAUUUGCUUCAACUAACUGAAUUCUGUUAUGCCACUGGCCUUUGGGAACCAAAGCUCACGGUUGUUGUUGGAAAAAGGUCUUUUGACAUAUUUUACACUUUGAAUAUGCUAGCGUUACACCAUCAGCUGAUAUAGGCACUGAUUUUGCAGAGAAUAUUCCAAGAAAGAGUUGUUAGCUGCAGGGAAGCCAAACUCAAUAGCAAGAAACAGGAGAGACAAGAACAAAUAAACCGGAUAAUUCAGACAAGGAAACAGGACAGGGACACUAGGAGGAAGCUGCUAUUCUUUCUGCGAAAAGAGGAAGAACAACAGAAGAGGUUGCAGGAAGAGGAGGAUGCGCGGAAACAUGAAGGUAUCCUUCUGGUUAAAGAUGCAUUUUACGCACUGCAUUUCGAUUUUCAAUGAAGUGCGUUUCACCAAGACGUUUAUGCUUCUGAUAACAUUUUAGCAGAGCAUCAUUUAAUUGUCGUUGCUUAUUUAAACCUGACCUUUUCGAGGUUAUGCAUACCGUCUGUAAUGUACUCUCACCUUCGCAAGUCCUUUCAUGCAUGCGUCGUUGUCUGGUUUAUAAUCCUCAAGUGUUUAGGAGCUACACUGACCCCUCUCAAGUUCUUUUUAUCCUUCACCAAUCUACCCUUUUUCUUUUGGGGUUGUGGUUUUGAGUUGUCAUUUAUUGUCCAUUUAGAAUCCUAUGACAAUGCAUUGAGAAUUUUGCAGAGGCAGAGAAGCGAAAAAGAGAGGAAGCUGAUCGGAAGUCCAAGUUAGAUGCUAUUGCAGAAAAGCAGAGGCAACGAGAGCUAGAACUUGAAGAGAAGAAAAGGCUGGAGAGAGAGGUGGUCUUGGGGAAAUCCAUGCCUAUGUCACUUGAGCCUUCAACUAUAGGUCGUCCCUCAGAAGCUGGAGCAACUGCACCUGCAGCAACAGCAGCUGCACCUACUCCCGGUAAGUUUGUGCCCAGGUUCAGAAGAGAGAAAAUUGACGUAGCAGGCCAGUCUCCACCUCCCGAGACUGAUCGGUGGAGCAGUGGUGGCAGGCGUGAUGAACGAAACUCGUUUGGUGGUGGUUCAAGGACCAGUUGGUCAUCCUCUAGGCGCAACUAAUUGCAGUGAAUCAGAGGCAGUAAAUCAAGCCGUUUGCAUAGUCGGGACACUUUUUUUACAAAAUUUCAAUUUUGGCUGUUAGUUAUUGAAAACUUCUCUUUGUGUAUCGGAAACAACCUCUCUGUCUUCUCAAGUUAGGGGAAGAGGUUUACGUACACCAACCUGUGGAAUUACACUAAUUUAGUCAUUGAAAUAUUUGUUUUUUGGAAAAUUUUCAAAAUAACAAUCUUUUAGUUUUUAGUGUGACUUCUUAUUCAUAGUUUCAUUAUUUAUUAAAAAUGUCAUUAUUUUAGUUUGUUAAAGAAUUAAUUAUGUAUUUAUUAUUAUUCUGAAAAGAAUAUAAAUAAUUAGUUACAGAACAUAGAAAAUUAUGGAACAAAAAAAUUAAAAAAAGAUUUUAAUUUAAUAUAAUACAAUUAAUUAAUAACAAAAUAGAGAAGAUCAAGGAAAAUAAUAUUUCAAAUAAACUAAUUUUUGAAUUUAGACCAACAAAGUUACGUUACCAUAAUUAUUAACUUUCCUAUUAUACGUGUUUGGUUCCACAAUCGACAUGAUUUUUUUCCCUCUUAUUCCUCAAAUUUACAAUACUAAUUUUUAACACUUCAUUGAAAAUACUAAAUCUAUGUAGAAUUGAAGUCGAUUGAUUUAAGAUUUUUGCGAACAGUGAAGAAGAUUUUACAAUGAAAAAAAUAAAAAAUAAAUACAAAAUUUGUUGGCAAACAAAGUGAGCAUAAAAAAUCUAAAACUUGUUAACAUACAUUUAAAAUUGUUAUAGAAUAAGAGUCUGUUUGGAUGAGCUUAAAAGUUGGUCAAACUGACUAGUUUUUGACUUAUUAGAGCGUUUGACAAUUAUCAAAGUGACUUAAGGCAUUCUUGAAAUAUCUAAGGUGUGUUUUAGAAUUCUCCGCAAGGCUCUCCUUAAUUCUAGAGUCUUUUAUGCCUAUCCGAAUGCCAAAUUUAACUAGAAUAGCUGCGAGACAUGACAAUAAACACAAAAAUUAACGAAAGUCACUAAAUUAUAUGCCUAUUUGGAGUAUUAUGGUAAACUUUUUGUUAGAUAUUAUAAUACCUUAAUUACAAAUCAGAGCUAUAACUAAGCACUAUAUAUGGAAAUCAAUCUGAGAAUAACUUCUAAAAAAAGUAAUUUUCGUGUGAUAACUUUACAAAGUUGAAUAAUCGGAAUGGACUUUACAUUAUAUGUAUUUGCAAUUUCUUAUUCGAAAAAUGGUCAAAAUUGCCCCUGAACUAUACGAAAUAGACCACUUAUACCCUCCAUUACAUUAUGAGAUUAAAAAUACCCAUGCUGUUAUCUUAGAAGACCACAAAUACCCUCAAGAGUUAACACCCCAAUUUUUUAGUGAUGUGGCAUGCCACAUGGAACUAAUCCCUCUACCUAAGUGUUGCCAACUAAGAUUCACUACAAAAGAACUUGAUCUUUAGGGGCAAUAGAGUUGCCACAAAAUCUCAAAAUAUUGUCAUUAAAGGUUAUGAGUGAUUUUUAGUGACAACUAAUAGUAAAACCUAACCUUGAGGGGUAGCUCGGCUGGUAAAGGCCUGAGGACAAAGUCUUUUAGGUCGCCAGUUCGAGCCCCCAGCAGGGCCACUAGACGCAUUACAAAUCGGACGCGUCUCCAGAGCCCCGUGAAACUAAUCGUGGUGCACCCGCCUUGAAACAGCGAGACCAGGUGAGUACAACUAGUCGGAUUCGCAAAGCGAUACCCGAAAACCACAAUAAAAAAAAACUAAUAGUAAAACCUAUUUUUUCAACAAAAAAAUAUAAUAAUUAAUUUUCGAUUGCAACUUAAUUUUCUAAUAAAUAACUUGCAAUAUCAAUAUUAAAAGCACCCAAUCUUAUUACGAAAAAUCAUGAAAAUUACUUCUCAAUUCACAUCUCCUACUUAUAAUGCAUCAUUGUACAUUUUAUACAUUUACAUAUAGCAUAAAAAUAAAACAUACGGUGUCUUUAAACUCCUACUUAAUCGAUAUCAUUUUUGUUUUUUGUAAAACAAUGAAGAAAAAACACUAAAUCAGAAUUUAAUGUUAAAAAGUUUUUGUGACGAUUUUUUGGGCUUUUGUGGCGACUAUUAUCGCUGCUAAAGGUCUAGUUCUUGUAGUGAAUCCUAGUUGACAAUGCUUAGGUGGAAGAAUUAGUCCCACGUGGCUUACCAAAGUCAAUAAAAAUAUGAAUAUUUACUCUUGAGGGCAUAUGUGAUCUCUUAAGGAUAACAACAAACACAUUUUUGAUUCCAAAAUAUAAGGAAGGGUAUAAGUGAUCUAUUUCACAUAGUUUAAGGGCAAUUUUGACCCUUUUCGUUUCUUAUUUUAUCUUGUCAAUGUUUUUUUUUUUAAAAACUUCAUGGUAACCUGCUAUUGCUAUAAAUCACAUUAUACAAAUCAUAUACGGCAUAUUCGAUUGAAAAGAUAUGAUACCUAUGUUUUUAUAAUUAGACUUAUUUAAUAUUAUUUUAUAAAAUAAUCUAUUUAUGUCAAUAAUUCGUUGAAUAAAACUUUUAACUCAUAAAUCUAUACCAUAUCAUUCUUCUGCCACGUUUACAAUUUUAACCAAAAAAAUAGUUGUUAUUUAUUGUUGCAUUGAACUUUGCUAUCAAACAAAAUUCCUUAUAAUUAGCUUUGAUACUUACAAGCAAGAAUAAUGCCUUCUCCACAUUUAGAGGCAAAUAUCUCUCAUUGUAUAACAACCUCUCAUCAGUUCUUCUAAUUCUUUUGGGAUCUUAUGAUGGCCCUUCAUCACUUUGAUGGGACAUUUGAUGCUUUAAGUUGACAUUAAUUAGCUUGCUUCCCUUGUAAUAUCUUAUUUAAAAUGAUUAGUAGCAAUUUUACUCCCUCAGUUAUUACUAAAUUUUAAUUUUUAUAUUUGUGAAAUUUAAUAUGAUAUUUUUUUAAUUUAUCAAGGAUAUGAUCUUAAAUAAGAGGGCACAAAAGGGUGAGCAUUACGAAUACAAGGUUAAUCUGUGUUUGAGUAUUAUCUAGUUUUUCCUAUUAUUAUUUUUUUCAAUUUUAUUAUACUUGUUCUUUUUUGUUUCUCUCCUUUUAUCUUUUGUUUUCAACUUUCUAUACUUACGACGUUUGAUAUGUUUUACUUGAACGAAUAUUUCUCUACCUUUAUAAGAUGUAGAAGUAAUACUAUACACGCCAUCUUCUACCGACCCUAUGUGAAAUUAAAAUUUAUUAUCAUUAUCGUAAACUCAACCUUUAAUUAGUUGAAAUAUGCACUAUUAAUCCCUUUAAUUGUGCAAAUUAACAAAUUAUUAAUCGUUCCGUCAUUUAUUUAUCAAUUUAUUACUUUAAGCUUGUAUAGUUGAUGAUUCUAAAAAUAGUUUAAACAUAAUAAAUUUCUAACCUAAAGUGAUAAAACACAGAUUUUAAUUAGUUGAAAUUUAAACAUGAUGCUCUUUAUUUCAAAAUAAAUGAGUUUUUGAAAUGUAACACACUCUUUAAGAAAGUUAGUUAGCAAUAUUAAUUAAUCCAAAUUCAAAUUUAUCUUCUCUUCUCCCACCUCGCCCUAUCAAGAAUGUCAAUCAUGUUUCCACUUAUCUCUCAAACCCUCAACCUACGAGGUGAUGGUGGAGGUGUUCGACCUCUUGAUUCGAGCUUACAUGUCAAAUUUAAAUUUAUCUUCUUUCUCUACCCAACAUUAUCAGAAAUAUAAAUAAUAUUCUUAUGAAAAAAUAUACAACUAUCCCCUCAACCUAUCGUCGAAAUCCCAGAGACACACUUAUAGUUCCUAUUAUCUCCUGAUCAGGGUUAAUAGGAACUUAAUAUAUUAUAAGUGUGUCUCUGGAAUUUCGACGAUAGGUUGAGGGGAACUUAUAAUAUAUUAAGUUCCUAUUAACCCUCAUCAGGAGUAAUAGGAUCUUAAUAUAGUAUAAGUGUGUCUCUAAAAUUUAGGACAUAAAUUGAAAUGGUACUUGUGCAUUAUCUCUAUUUUUAUUUAUCUUUUUACGCAAAUCUAUAACAAUGGUAGAGCUAUUUAACCACUUGAUGGAGGCUAGUCAAAAUCCAAAUUUAUUCAAAUGGAAAGUGUCAAAAAUACUAUUAUCCCUAUUUGAUUCUUUAUUGCAAGUCAACUGCUACCUCUCCAUUUAAUUAUAUAUAUACAUUCAUGUACAUGUUUUUGCAUAUGAACAAAUUCAUCACUAUGGAGUCCUCCACACUAGAAGAAAACAAUCCUCAAUCUCAAGCACCUAAGCUAAAUUUCAUUUUGAAAUUGAAGGAAAAUUUGGUAUUCAAAUCAAAAUGGGCUGAAUUGAAUGGUGCAAUGGGUGAUUUAGGCACAUACAUACCAAUUGUCUUAGCUUUAACCCUAGCCAGUCACUUAAAUCUAGGGACAACACUAAUUUUCACUGGUGUAUACAAUUUUGUAACUGGUGCUAUCUAUGGUGUACCAAUGCCUGUUCAGCCAAUGAAAUCAAUUGCAGCUGUAGCUAUCAGUAACCCGGAUUUCGGCAUACCUGAAGUUAUGGCUGCCGGAAUUUGCACCGCCGGGAUCUUGUUCGUAUUAGGCGUAACCGGAUUGAUGCAGAUCGUGUAUAGAUUGAUUCCAAUUUCAGUUGUUAGAGGAAUUCAACUUGCACAAGGUUUGUCGUUCGCAAUGACAGCAGUUAAGUAUAUUAAAAAUGUACAGGAUUUCGCAAAAUCAAAAUCUGGAGGGCAGAGGGAUUGGGUAGGGUUAGAUGGAUUGUUGUUAGCUUUAAUUUGUGCUGUUUUUAUUGUGAUUGUUAAUGGUGCUGGUGAUGAUGAUGAUGAUGAUCGCGUCGAUAAUCCUGAAUCAGGAUGCAGGGAAAAAGUUCAUAAAAUCAUAUUUUCACUUCCAUCAGCUUUUCUUAUAUUUUUGUUAGGGGUUGUUUUGGCUAUUAUAAGAGGGCCUAAUGCAAUAAAAGGGUUUAAAUUUGGUCCAUCGAGAAUUGAUGUAAUGAGUAUAUCAAAACAUGCUUGGAAGCAAGGGUUUAUUAAAGGGACUAUACCUCAACUACCUUUAUCUGUACUUAACUCUGUGAUUGCAGUGUGUAAACUGUCAACAGAUUUGUUUCCAGAGAGGGAAGUCACAGCUACCUCGGUGUCGAUGACGGUGGGGUUGAUGAAUCUAAUAGGUUGUUGGUUUGGUGCAAUGCCAUGUUGUCAUGGUGCAGGUGGGUUAGCAGGGCAAUACAAGUUUGGUGGUAGGAGUGGUGGGUGUGUGGCACUUCUUGGUGUGGCUAAGUUGGUUUUGGGGUUGGUUUUAGGGAGUUCAAUGGUGAAAGUUUUGACACAAUUUCCUGUUGGGGUUUUAGGGGUUCUGUUGUUGUUUGCUGGGAUUGAAUUGGCCAUGUGUGCAAGAGAUAUGAACACUAAAGAAGAGGCAUUUGUGGUGCUUGUUUGCACAUCAGUUUCAUUAGUUGGGUCAAGUGCUGCAUUGGGUUUUUUGUGUGGUAUUGUGGUUCAUUUGCUACUUAAGAUGAGGAAUAUGGGUAGUAAUGGUCAAUCUUGUUCUAAUGUAAUUUGGUUUCAUAGAAACCCAUAAGCAAAACUUGCAUGUUUAGUGUGUUGGUGAUCUUCUUCUUGUAUUGUUGUUGUUUGUUUGGAUAACAAUGGUAUUCCGAUCAUUUUCACUUUAACUUCCAACUUUCAUAAUGCACAAACAAGCACUUUAACUAUCCAAUUUUUAAAUAAAUAAACACAUGAGUCCUACAUGGUACAAUACACGUAGGACACCAUGUAGGACAAAAGGUGACAUGUAGGACAUGUGUGUUUAUUUGAUCGACUUUAUACAAGUUUAAGUGUCUAUUUGUGCACUUCCAAAGUUGAAGGGCACAAAUAUAAUUUGAAACCAAAUUAAAGGGCACAUUUAUGUAUUAUGCCUAAUUUCUAUGAAGUGUUUAUAACAUAUAAAUUUACAAUAAUUUGUUAGAAAUGCUAACAUCUUAAAAUUUACUAAUUUAAAACCACUAACUAUAUUUUAACUUUCAAAUAAUUAAAGAAGCUACAUAUUUAACCUUUUCGUGAAAAGAAUUAAUCAAUAAUCUUUAUUAGAAAAAUGUUCAAAUGAUCUUCAUUCAAACUUAUAUAAAUUCUAUUAGUUCAAGAGUUAAUUAUUUACGAAUAAUUUUAUUAGUUUAAGAGUUGAUUGUUUACAAAUACUUUAAUUUGUAAUAUUAGGCAUUUUAUCAAAUUUUGGUUUAUCCAAAUACAUUCAAAUACGUUUAGAUACAUAUGAUCAAAAGUAGGUGUAAUUUAUUCAAGAUACACAUUAUCUAAGUGAAUCUACAUGUAACUGAAACACGUAAUAAAUCUCACUUGUCUGUCUCUCAUUUCGUUCACCAAUCUUCUAUGUAUAUGACAUCUCAUAUAUAUAUGAGUCACACUAAAUACAUAUGAAUACAUGUUCAUAACGUAUAUCUAGUGUAAUUAGCAUAUAUCUAAUAUAUAUGUAUAAUAAAUAAAUCUCUCUAGUAUUUCGCUCCAUCCCCCUCGCCUCUCUCCCUAUUUUAAUAUAUCUAAUAAUAAAAUAUUUUAUAUAUAUAUAAUAGGAAAGUCUUAAUUAAUAAUAAAAUCCGUAAUAUUUUUAAAAAUAGUUUGUAAAUUUAUGACUGAUUAUUUGAAUUGCUAUUCAGAAAAUUUGACAUAUGUCCUCUCGCAAAACUAAGCCGCACACAUGAAGAUAUAAAUUUAUUUUUGUUUUAUUUUUACUAUUAUAGCCUUAUUUGUAAACCAGCCGUUAUCCUCCUCGCCAUUUUCUGUUUUAACAGCUUCUCCUCCCCUGUUCUGAUCACUCCAUUUUUCUCUUUCUCUCAAUUUUUGCAUUUUUCGAUCUCUCUACAGAUCCGACGUACGUAUUGGAUCCGGGCCGUCCGAACCGAUAGAAUGGCGGCAUCACGUCGUCUCCGGGAUCUCCAAGCACAAACCGGUAACAAGGUCUGUGUCGAUUGUUCUCAGAAGAAUCCACAAUGGGCCUCUGUUUCCUAUGGAGUUUUCAUGUGUUUGGAAUGCUCCGGAAAACACCGUGGGCUAGGUGUUCACAUUUCAUUCGUCCGAUCCGUUACCAUGGACUCAUGGUCCGAGAUCCAGCUCCGGAAAAUGGAGUUAGGAGGUAAUGAGAAGUUGAACAAAUUCAUGAGUCAAUAUGGAAUCCCUAAAGAAACUGAUAUUGUGACCAAAUACAAUACGAAAUCUGCUUCUGUUUACCGUGAUAGGAUUCAAAAUCUGGCUGAGGGAAAACCUUGGCAGGAUCCACCUGUUGUGAAGGAAUCUGUAAAAGGUCCUAAUAGCAGCAGUAGCAGACCUCCGUUGAGUGGAAGUAGAAUUGGAAAUUCAGGUGGAAAUUCUGGUUGGGAUAAUUGGGAUAGUUUUGAUGAAGGUGGCGAUAGUAACAGUAGCAUGAGGAGAAAUCAGACGGUGGGUGAUUUUAGGAGUGGUGGAGGUAGUGAUGGUGGGCCUGCUAGGUCGAGGUCUACAGAUGAUGUUACAAUGGCGCAGUAUGAGGCGUCCGCUGCGAAUAAAGAUAAUUUUUUUGCUAGGAAAAUGGCUGAGAAUGACUCCCGGCCGGAGGGCCUUCCGCCCUCUCAGGGAGGGAAGUAUGUUGGAUUUGGAUCAAGUUCUGGCUCAAUGCCUAGGAAUAAUAAUAACAAUUCGCAAGGCGAUGUCUUUUCUGCUGUUACUCAGGUAUAAAGGUUGAGCUAAUCAUGUCUCUAUGGGGCUUAUGGUGUUUUAUGUUUAUCUAUGUGGAUUUAACUCACAUCAAAAGUAAUUUGUGUUUGCAGUAUCAGUAUAGUUUCAGUGUUUCACCUGUUUAGCCUGUUACUUAUCUUAUGUUCUCGGUCAUGCAGUUGUGCUUAAUGUAGGGAAUUAUCCAUCAUUGGUUUAUAACUGACUGAUACUGUAGAAAAUGAACCUUUCAGUAUAUAAGAGUCAAAAAUCAUUUACGUAUAGCUGAUGAGGUUGCUUCUUUAUGUGUGCAGGGAUUUGGUAGAUUAUCUAUGAUGGCAGCCUCAGCGGCACAGUCUGCUGCAACUGUUGUUCAAGCAGGGACAAAAGAGAUUGGCUCUAAGGUACUUUGAAUUGAUUGUUAUACCUAAUUGAAGGUCUAAGUGAUCCUAUGAUUUUUUGGAGAUGCCUUCUGAGCUAAUAAGUGAAUCGGCAAAUUGCAUUACAAACUUCUCUUUGUUGUAAAAUGCCAAGUCCUAAGUAAUGUGCUACUGAGCAUUAUGUUUUGCGAUAAUGGAUGGCCAUUUGAAGUUUAAUCUUUGAAUUAUUUACUAUCACAUUUGCAUUAUCAGCAACCAAUAUCUUUUGCUAAGGGGUUGGAACUUCCACAUGAUUCACACUCACACAUACACACGCACAUGUAAUUUUGGAAUAUUUUCCGGUCGACCACUAUUUUGUAUCUUGAACUUUUAUUUAAUAAUUUGUUUAUUUUGUGAGUGUACCAACCUAAUUCUUGUGAUGUAUCUAACUUAUAUGCUUGACAUGCAUCUAGCAUGAAUGCGGGAUGCUUCAUGAAUCAGUCUGCGCCCCAUUUCUUUUAAUAUCAGAGAAUUGAAAAGUGACAUUAGAUCUUUUUCUUUUUGGACCAAAUGUUGAGAUUGGAUUAUCAGUGUAACUCUUGAAUGAUGUUGCAUGCAAAAUCCCCUUCAACUAAAUAUUAAGACAUGUUUCACUAAGACUGACGUCCUAAGUUUGAAUAUGGUAUAAGAUUGCAAUAGGUAUUUCGUUUUUGUAUAUAGAUAGCCUUAUAUAUCUAUUUUCUGUGGGAUCUUAUAAAUUCGAAUCCUGAUAUAUUAGUAACCUUUCAUAUGGACAUGCACAGGGUCGGACCACAUAAUGCUCCGGUUCAAUUCAAAUUUUGGUUUAGUAAAUGGGAGAAAUGGUUGAUGCUCUUCCUAAAACUUAUAGCCUAUGAGUCUAGUUUUCAUGAGAUCAGACAGAAUUUGAAUAAUUAUUAGAAAGAGAUAGGAUAGAUUGAGUGAAACAUGCUCAUGCUGUGUUUUACAUUGAUUUUGUGAGCUUUACUGACUUUAAAGCUUCAUAGAACACUUCAAAAUGUGUUAAAGAGGGUAAACCCCUUACAUGUACUAAGCCAGAGAAAUUUUGGUUUAAUAGCUAUUUGAUAUCUUCUCAAACUUCUUUAGUCUUAACCUCUUGAGACACCCCAAGACCAUACAAAUUUAUAAGAUGUUUUGGUAUCUUAUACUUUAUAUGUUUCAAUUAUUUCAUAUUAUGAGUUGGAGUUGUAAAAGAAAAAAGUUUCAGGUUAGUUUGUAUUUGAUCCUUCUCCAAUCACUUAAAAGUUGUAGUGAUUAUUCAAUUCUCCUAAUGAUGAGAAUUUCUGUCAAACGUAUAAUAUUCAAUUUACUGGUCGUGUAUACUUCAAUCGAGUAGGAGUCUCAUCCCCUCUCUUUCAAAGUACUGUUAGUUGUGUAUUUUUCCGGUCUUCAUUUAAGUUUUUUUUCAUAUAGCCUGUAUUCUCAACGCUAUUGUUUUCCAAGUUCUUUUGAGCAAAGAGGCUGGAAUUUAUGAAUGUUCAGUAAGAUGCUUGUGUAAUCCAACUCUUACAGGUGGCAGAGGGUGGUUAUGAUUACAAGAUGAAUGAAACAGUCAAUGUUGUCGCAACAAAAACAACUGAGAUUGGACAGAAGGGCUGGGGUAUAAUGAAGGGGGUCUUAGCUUUAGCUUCACAGAAGGUUGAGGAAUUUGCUGAGGGUCCAAACCCGAGGGACGAUAGCUGGCAACGAAGUGAAAAUGAACGAAACGGCCAUUAUAAGGAAUCCAGUCAGGCAUCUAAAGGAUGGAAUUCUUCUGGAGGAGCACAAUCAUCUGGUAGGCAGGCCAAUGCGGUCAGUUCAGCGUCCUGGGAUGACUGGGAUAGUAAAGACAACAAGAAAGAAAAUCCUACCGGAGGGGCCACAUCCAGUAAUGACGAUGGCUGGGCUGGUUGGGAUGAUGGUAAAGAUGAUGGAUUUGAUAAUUUCCAAAGGGCACCUAACAAUAAACAUGUCGCUCAUGGUGGAAAAUCAGAGUCCAAAUGGACUGAUGGAGGUUUCCUCUAAGAGUAGCAGAUGCCACAACUUCUGGUAAUUCUUUUCCCUUCCAAAUUUGAUUUCAUCAAGAUUUACAUCUUGGAAGGAUUCGUCUCUGAAACUUGUUGAUGUAUGUAGCAUUACGAACAUGAUUGGUCAAUUGCCUCUCAGGUAAAAGAAACAAGGAACGAAGGCAACAGAACAAACUGUUCUGAUGCCCAUUAUUUUUCAAGGUUACAACUUUUAGGUUACAUUUGGAUUUGUAAUGACCAUAGUUGCAUUUACUAUUUUUCUGCAUUUUGGUCGUGUAUUUAGGUGACCGUCUUUAAUCGUGUACCAUUUAUUUGUGUUAUAUACAGCUGCAUAACAUAUUAAUUUGCGCGUAAAGUGUUUGAUCAAGUUCUGGUGUAGUUUGUUCUUUAUGUUGCAAUCCAUCAGUAAUAGCAUGUAUUGUAAUGAUAUGCUAUAUAUAUGCAAAUACACAUCCUCUUGUUGACCUUUUCUUUUGUUCAUUUUUGCCUUUAACAAGAACUGAAAGCAAGCAAAUUGUUCUAGUCCUUAUUUGAAACCAAGGUGGUUUAUGCCUGUUCUGUCAGAUUAAAUUCUGAAUAAAAAAUUCUACAUAUGGGAUAAACUUAUCCUCGAUAUAUUCCCACGACUUUAAUAUCUUAUCCCCCAAACCAAACGACUGUGUUUGCAUGCUCCACAAUCUCAUAUUCAAUCUUCCUCAGUUUCUGAACAUCAUCAGAGUAAGGGGAUUAACUUCAUGAAUCUCCUUUGUUUGAAUAAUUGCACUGCACAAAUACGGCAAAACCACAGGCCUUCUUUUUAUAAGAUAAUCCCUUGCUAUAGUAACAAGUAUCUCAAAAAGUGCUUGAGGUGACAAGUUUCAAUAUUUUUUUUUUAGUCAUUUCUUAGGUAGGGAAUGUUUCUCCUAAGAGCUCAAAUUUGAAUUGAUUUCGAAUAUCGAAUAUGUAAUCAACAACAACAAGAAUAUACCCGAUGAAUGUCAUAAGUGGGAUAUGGGUAGGGUAAAGUACAGAACCUUACUACUACCCAUGCAAGAAAAGAACAGUAGCAACAACAAAAUAAUGUGAUAAUCGAAACACUAUAUAUGAUGAUAAAUAAUUAAUGCAAAAACUACAUGAACCAAAAAAACCUAAACAUUCGAACAACAAAACAGCACUCCGCUACCUUCUAGCUUGUUUAAUUAAUCGAAUAUUAAUUUAUUUUUUUUAAAAAAAAGAAGAAUUGUCUAUUUUACACAAAAUAGAAUUGGCGUCGCCCGGACUCAAACCGGAGACCUUCAGUGUGUUAGACUGACGUGAUAACCAACUACACCACGACACCUUUUGUUCAACUGAUGAUUUUUAACAAAAUCAAUGAUUUCCGAUCUUAGUUUAUUGUUACCCAUUCUUUUACUCGUUUAGGAGCAUUUUGUACCCAGGAUGAAUCAUAAAUCGGAUAGGAUUGUGAGCGUGGUCGAAUUACAUUUGCAUGUUACGAUAACACUUACCACUCUCGUAAAAAUUUGAUUAAAUAUCCUAUUUUUUCAAAAUAAACACUUUUGACUUCCCAAAAGAUUGAUCAAACACACUAUAAGAAUAUUUUAAAAAGAUGUAAUAACGUGAAGGGUCUUAUAGAAAUAUCAGAAUUAAUCAAGGAAAACAAAUAUUCUUUUUUCUACGAGAAAUAAAUUGAAUGAAAAUAAGAAUCAAAUUCAGAUAUAUAUUACUAUAUCAAUAAAAUAAAAGCUUGAAAUUUCUAUCAACUAUUACAAAUUUGAAAACAUCCUGUGGCUGUAGUUUAGUGGUAAGAAUUCCACGUUGUGGCCGUGGAGACCUGGGCUCGAAUCCCAGCAGCCACAAUUUGUAUUUCUUUUUUACUCUCUAAUGUGAAUUCAUUCUACUCAUUUAAUUUUAUAAAAAGCAUAUUUUUCAAAUUAUUUUUGAAAGGAUUAUUUAACUUUUGUGUUUCUCUUCUCGGAUUUAAUGAAAAUUUAGUGAAAAAAAAUAAAUUUCAAUUAGUUAAUAUUAUUUAUAUGAAUUUUCUUCCAAUUUAUUAUAUUCUUGACCAAUUCAAUAUUUUGAUUCUAAAGUUUAUUGAUUGAGACAUUUUCUUAUUAUGUGAUAGGUGUAUCUUAUUCUAUUCACCAGAAUAUUAUAUUUAUUGACUAAUGCAUCUGCCAUUUACUUUAGGGCAUGAAACUUCGAAAUGAAUGAGUGCAACAAAAUAAGGAAAGAAAGCUAGGACAUGACUUGUAAUUGACCUGAAGAUCUAUAUAAAACGUAUUCAAAUAAAUUCAAAUCAUAACAUUCUUUAAAUUUUAUCCUAUGUAUUUCAGAUGAUCUUUAUCUAAUUUAAUGAUUUUGUAAUUUUAUCAUACAUAUUUUUUUAGCGGUUAAUAUACAUACGCAUAUAUCUAAGUUUAUUUGUGAAACAAAUAUGUAAAUUUAUUUUGAAUAUAUAUAUAUAUAUAUAUAUAUAUAUAUAUAUAUAUAUAUAUAUAUAUAUAUAUAUAUAUAUAUAUGGCAACUUUCACAUAUAGCAAACAAAAAAAUCAUAUUUGUAUAAUAUAGCAAACUUUGCAUAAUUGCGCUCCAUAACAAACAUAAAAACUGUAUAAUUCGCUAUACAUAUAAAAGUGUAUAAUUCGCUGGCCUAAAUUGUAUAAUUCGCUGGCCUAUUUCGCUGCAAUUGUAUAAUUAGCUUUGCAUACAGUUGAAUCGAAUUAAAAUGUAUGUAUAUUGCAUAAUUAUAAGUGUAUAGCAAGAAGAUAUAUGUUUUUCUCGCUUUAUACAAAAACAGAAACACAAUAUAUACACUUCUGUUGUAUAAAGCUAGAAAAAAUUGUAUUUCACUGCAAUUGUAUAAUUCACAAUUGUAUAAUUCUUUGGCCUUUUUCUCUGCAAUAUUUGAAGUAAAAUGUUUGUAAAUUAUAUAAUUAAGUGUAUAACACGAAGAUAUACAUUUUUAUAUGUGUAUAUACAAUUUUCUCUCGCUUUAUACAAAACAGAAACAGAAAUUAUACACUUCUGUGUAUAAAGCGAGAGAGGCGAGAAUGGGAGAGUGGCGAGCGAGACUUCUGGGAGAGAGACGCCUGACAAAUUUUUGUCAAUGUUUGCUAUGGAGCACAAUUAAAUCAAACCCUAGCUAUUCAAUUUAAUUUAGGUUAUUAGUUUGCUAUUUUAUACAAUUUUCCCUCAUAUAUAUAUAUAUAUAUAUAUAUAUAUAUAUAUAUAUAUAUCAAGAUUAAGUAUUGUAUUGGCAUGAUUUUCGAUAAGAAAUAGAGUUUAGCCCCUCAAAAUUGAGUUUAUGUAGCCCAAUUAUUUACCCACAAACCAAAGCCCCAUUUUCAAAGCCCAUAAACAGCACACUACGCUUCCAUCUUCCAAAUAGUAACCAAAUCGGCGUAUCCGUUUUCCAUCUCCGCCGCUGCCGUCGCCGUCGCCGCCAAGAUGAAGAUUGCUCAAGGUGUCUUAAGGACUGCCAAUGCUUGCCUAUCUCGUUAUUCUUCUCAUCAUCGGACUUUUUCUGCGCUUCCGAAUUUUGGUAGGUACUACUAUUUAAUCAAUUCUCUAUUCAAUUCCUUCCUUUAUCAUGCUAAUUUGUAGUUUUAGCAACUGAAAAUCUGCAAAUUUAGUUUUAUUGAGCUUAUUUUGAAUCCUAUUAUCGUUGUUCAGUAAUGUUCUAUUGACUUAACACCUAUAAAUGGAGGUGGCUGACCUCAAAAUAUUUAGAUCUGGUCGGUUAUCGUUGUUCAGAAAUUUCAUUUUUAGUGUUCGAAUUUAGUAGGACUGUGCACUCCUUAGCUCAAUUUGAGCUACGAAAUGCCCUCCUUGAACUCUUUUGAACUUCAGAGCUUAAUUCGCGUAGUAAAUGAGCCUUUGGCAGUACUUGUUGUCCCCAUAUAUCUUCCAACAUCACUCAGGAAAAAAACUGUUUUAGGAGAGAACUGUUUAGGAGUUAUUUCUCAAUAAAAAUAAUUAAGUUGUUUAGGAGUUUUUAACAGCUGAGCAUGCAUCCUGUGAUUGAAUAGUGGAAAGAAUUGUAACAUGGUCAAGCUUCUCUUAGAUGGUAUUUUACUGGCUCACUAAUCCUUCUCAAAUUGUGUGCCUUUCAUAUGGGACAAUCCUAAUCGACAUUACUAAUGUUCAUCUUUAGACGCUCUAGCUUUGUCCGGUUCUUCUUUAUUGUGUAGUUACAUGCUUCUUCAUCAUUGAUCAUCAUCACCUUUUUCAUGUAUAUGCAUUUUCUCUUUUACCUACAUCUCUGGUAAUGGAUACAACUUUCCUCAUCACUACACAGCCCCUGAUGAUAAGCAAAGCACCAACUCGUUUGAGUCUGCUGAGGACUUUGAAAGACGAAUUUUUGGUGAUAGUGCGGGUAACAGGCCAAGUCCAAACUCCUUUUUCAGAAAGCUUGAUGACGCUGAAAAGUCUUAUGAUAGAUCUGGUCUGGGCUCCACAUUUAGUUCUGGAAACAGAUCUAGUAUCCUUGAUGGUCUAGAUGAGAGUUUUAAUACAUUAUCAGAUGGGAUGGAUGGUAAGCUGAAGGAAGCAGCCAGCUAUUUUCAGGUGGAUCCUGAAGAAGUAGGAAAAGAAGAUUAUGCUUACAGAGCAGAUAUGACCUUUUGGCCCGGAAACACUUAUGAACUCAAGGUAUGACUAAUGAGCUACCAUUUCUUGUAUGCUUUUAGCAUAUUGAGUUUCAAUUCCAUAAGAAGAUAUGUCUCACUGUGGUUUUUGUAUAUCUUGCACCCAUUGGUGUUUCAACAGCUUCCAUCAAACAUUCAAUUGUUUGGGCCUGCUAGAAUGUAUACUCUUUAAGUGCUUAUUUCCUAGUACACCUCGUUUUCAUGUUUUGUUCUCUGUGGCAAGAGCAAAAUUAUGGAUGACGUUAAUUUGUUGCCAUAGCUCAACGUGUCCUCUUGCUCUGUAUUUCCUAUGGUGCUGUCAGGUCCACCUCUAAGCUUUUUGUUAUUAACAUGCAGGAUCUUGAUCUUAGAAAACCAGGAGUUCGCAGGCCCCCAAAAAGGGAUGAAUUUGAAACUACGACAGAGGAAGUUUUGCGCAAAGCUGAUUUCAGGGUUUGUAUUCUUGGUUCUGCAUUACUUUGACCACGCAUGGCUUUAAAAUGUCUCUAUAUAUGCACCCCAGUGUCUGCACAUGGAAACACCCUCGAGUACAUACGUUGCUUAUUUGAUACUCUUAGCGUCAAGUCUCUCUGCUGUUUAGUUUAUUGUUGCUGAAUUUGGAUGUUGCUUAUAAACAUAAAAGUGGUGUCUUCCUCCCAAGUAUUGUCUUGUAAAUUUGGCCCAUUGUGAACCUUCUGACUCUUAACGAAGUUAUCUGAUUUAUACCUUUAACUAACUUGCAAUGCAGAAUGUGAGAUUCCUAGCUAACUUCAUCACGGAGGCUGGAAUUCUCCACAAGAGGAGCAAGGUUAGUAAUCAAAUCCAUCUACUAAUUUUGACGAUUAAAUAUGUCAAUUUCUUAUUUUUUCUUUUUGGUCAUGUAUAGACUGGAAUUAGUGCCAAGGCCCAAAGAAAGAUCGCCAGGGAGAUAAAAACUGCCAGAGCUUUUGGUCUGAUGCCUUUUACAACAAUGGGAACAAAACACUUUGUAUUUGGCAGAACCAUGGAGGACCUUGAUGCAGAUUAUGAAUAUGAGAUGUAUGACCCAAAUUUUGUCGAUUCAGAAGCUGGCCGGGAACCUUUUUAAUCAUAAAAAGGAUACUACUAGUUACUAUUUGUUUUUCUUAUCCUCUGUUUGUCCUUGAGAACAUGUAUUCCAGUUAUUGCUAAGGGCUGAUUUUGCAGAUGAGGGAUUAGCAUACUAACUCGUUUUCAUCCAAUGAAAAGAUGUUCUCGGCGUUUUGUUUCAAAUUAUACACUGCUUCAAAGGAAUGCCCUACAUAAUACAUGCUGGUAUCAUUGUACAUCAUUGAUUUAGCUGUUGGAACUCUCUUCCUCUGGAUGUUGUGAUUUGGUUCAUUUUGAGGAUGUCCAAAAUCAACUGUUGGCUCCACUCCAACAUUUUUCUUUUUUCUAUCUGCUUGUGAUUUGGUUGAGUAGAUUAAUGUUACUAGAUUGGCGAACUCAUUAUCCAUCGAGUUUUGAGUCCUCAUUAGCCUCGAGGAUUUCUUGGUUAUCAAAAUAAACGAGCAAUGUAGAAACUCUAUUGCAAAGUUUUUUGAGGAACUUUUGUUACAUUAGCCAUAGAUAUGAAUUAUGUUAUGUAUGAAAUCUGUUUGCUUUGGUUCAUUUAGUUUAAUGGAACGUCAAUUUUAUUAAUUACAUGUGCAAUUGUUUGUACCUCAGUGAAAUUAAUUACUACAGUGAUGAGAUAGAAUGGUAUUGGUACCAUAAAUAUUAAGCCAAAUCUCGAUAAUGUUCAUUUAAUAUAAAUAGAUUAUAGAUGUUCAAACAUAAAAUAUAAAUGAAAUCACAUAGAAGAUCUUUUUUUGGGUUAUUUAAUUUUUUUUCUAGAUCCGAAAUAAAGCCAAAAAAACUAAACAAAUAAUUUUUUAAAUCCAAAAUCAAACUAAAAAUCUAAUUCAAAGUAGAACACCCCUAAAUUCACUAAAAUCAAAACAAAAUAAUCACCACAUUGGGUAAAUGUGCCUCUUCAAAACUGAAGCUCUGCAUAUCGGACAAUCUUUCUUCUUGAUCAGCCAUUUUUUGACGCAAUUUGUAUGAAACUCGUGUCCACAUUGCAACGCUCCUAUACUCUCUUCGUUUUCAUAUUCAGAUUGGCAAAUAACACAGGUAACUGAUUCUACAUCAGGAUCUACAACUUGGGGAGCAUGAUGAGUUCUUAUUUUCAAGUACUUCAGUACAUGAACAUAAUCAUCCUCUUGCUCCUCAUGAUUAAUUUGAGGAAGAGAGCGAAAUCUUAAAUUCCUCUCUCGAAAAUUCAGUAUUCUAUUCCUUAAAUUUACACGUUGAAACCUAUAGGCAUUUACAAACGAUGUACCAUAUAAGUAUGUAUUAAUAUGAUCUUCUAGAUUAUAUUGUCUAGAAGGCUGAUAAUUAGGACGUCUACGCAUAUUAUAGCCUUGUUGUUGAUGAUAAUUGGGACGUCUACGCAUAUUAUGGCCUCGUUGUUGAUGAUAAUUGGGGCGUCUACGUGAGUUAUAGCCUCGUUGUUGAUGAUUGUCAUUCCUAACUUGUCGAGCAAUGUACUCAUGUUGAGCGAAUGAUGCAUUAUAUGCGUUUGGAUUGACAUAAUCAUAGAGAUUAUAAGGCUGAUAAUUGGGGCGUCUACGCGAGUUAUAGCCUCCUUGUUGAUGAUUGCGAUUCCUAAAUUGUGGAGCUACGUACUCAUAUUGAGCAAAGGAUGCAUCAUAUGCAUUUGGAUUGACAUAAUCAUAGAGAUUAUACUGAUUAUAAGGCUGACAAUUGGGGAGUCUACGCGAAUUAUAGCCUCGUUGUUGAUGAGUGUCAUUCCUAAAUUGUGGAGCAAUGUACUCGUAUUGAGCAAACGAUGUAUCGUAUGUGUUUGAAUUAACAUAAUAAUAGAGAUUAUACUGACUAGAAGGCUGAUAAUUGGGGAGUCUACGCGACUGAUAAUUGGGAAGUCUACGCCAAUUAUAGCCUCGUUGUUGAUGAUUACCAUUCCUAAAUUGUGGAGCAAUGUACUCAUAUUGAGCAAACGAUGCAUCAUAUGCGUUUGUAUUAACAUAAUCAUAGAGAUUAUAUUGCCCAGGAGGCUGAUAAUUGGGGAGUCUACACGAAUUAUAGCCUCGUUGUUGAUGAUUUCCAUUCCUAAAUUGUGGAGCAAUGUGCUCAUGUUGAGCAAACGAUGCAUCAUAUGCGUUUGGAUUAACAUAACCAUAGAGAUUAUAUUGCCCAGGAGGCUGAUAAUUGGGGAAUCUACGCGAAUUAUAGCCUCGUUGUUGAUGAUUACCAUUAUUGAAGGGACGAUGAGAAGUCAUUGUUUCGUUUCGAUCAAGAAAUUAAGGAACAGAGUAUUUUUGAGUUUGAACAGAGUACUAUAGUUUGCAUUGUAUUAAUAGAGGCUAUUUUCUUCCCAGUUUAAUUUGGAUUGGGUUUCAGCUAAAGUAUUUUUGUUUUAGGAAACUUAAAUUAGGAAAACUUAUUUAUACUCACAUAUUUAUUUGAAAACUUACUUGGAUACUUAUUAGGAAAGCUUAUGUGUACUCGCAUAUUUAUUCGAAAACUUAUUUAGAUAUGUUAUAUUAAGAAACUAUUUAUUAUUAGAGUAAUAUAUUUAAUUUGGGAUUGUUUAGAGGUGAGUUAUGGUAUAACUUAUGUAUAUGUAUUUUUCCUUAUUACGUAUCCGUAUAUACUUUACAUGACUUUUGACUAGCUAUAGUGUAGCACGGUGUAUAUUCCCACGACUUUUGACCUUUUUAUGUAAAUAAAACAAUGCUAUAUUUAUUAUAAACUAAUAUUUUGUUAUAUAUAUAUAUAUAGUAAUGAACUUAGUCGUGCUUUGCGCGAUAAAAAAUUACUCGUUAAAUUUGUUAAAUAGUUAAUUUUUUGAAUAGUUGACUACUAAAUAUAUUUCUAAAGAUUCUUUAUAGUCUUUAAUCUAAAUAUAUCAAAUUUUAAGUCUUAAUUAAGUUUAUUAUUAAAACUUAAAUUUUAUAUCUUUUGUAAUUUGAAAUCGUUUAAGAAUUUUCGAAAUUAGAAAAAAAAAUCCUAAAUUUAUUCUCUUUAUUUUAAUAAGAAAAGUAAAUUUAAUGUAAUAAGUUGAACUCUUUAUGAAAUUUAAAUUUAAUUUAAUAAUAUAAUAAGCUUAAUGUAAAUAUAGUUUUUUUCAAGUAUCUAUUCUUUUCCUUCAAAAGUAUUAUACUUUUCUUUAGUAAUGAAUUUUUUUUUAUCACUAAUUUUAGAUUAUGAAAUGUUUGUAAAUCAUUUUCUAUCUUGACUAAUUUUACUACGAUUAUAAUAUACUGCCUAUUAUUUAUAUAAAAAUGAAUAGAUUGAAAGAUAAAUAGUCUCAAAUACGUAAAUAAUAUAAAGUAUUCAAAUAAAUUAAACUCAAAUUAUAUAUAUGUAUUAACUAAAAUACAACUUUAAACUUACCUAUAUUUUAGUUACAAUUUCUAAAUUAUUCUAAAAGGUAAACAUAAAUAAAAAUUGUGAAAUUUCUUAAUCCUCAAAAUUGAUUUCAUUAUUCAAAAUAAAAUAUAUACAAUGUUGAAACCAUUAAAAAAACCUUAAAAGAUAAUAAACAAAACGAUUCAAGUCUUCAAAGUUAAAAUUAAUAUACCUGAAAUUUCAAUAAUAUUAUUUAGUGUAGGUAUAAAUUAUAAUUAGAUAAAUUAAUCAAAGAAUCCUUGUUGGAGUACCAAAGAAAAUUAAAAUAAAUUAAAAUAAAACAAAUAAACAAAAUAAUCUUUGUAGGAAUACCAAAAAAAAUUAUCCUAGCCUCUAAUUAUUCAAUUUGUGCACACUCUCAAUGUUCACUUACACCAUUUGAAGAUUAAUGGACAUAAACAUUAAUGUAGGGUUCCUUUUUCUUGUGAGUUUAUGAAAGUUAAACUUAAAUAUUGUCAUAUCUUCAUCUUGUCUUCCAUUAUAAAUAAUAAAGAUUAUUAAAAAAAAAUGCGCAAAAUAAUAAGUACACUAAAAUCAUCAAUAAUGAGGAAAAAAGCAAUAAAAACAAAAAAAAAGAAUAAAAAAAUAUUGUAAAUAAAAGACAUCAAACAAACUGAAAUAAAAAGAGUAACAUGAGUAAAAUAUUGUACUCAUCAAAAUUGAAUUUGAAUUUUCAAAAUUGUCAUAUACUCGUCUACUCGUCCACACUGUUAAGUAUUAACAAUAGAAGUUAGUCACAAAGAAUCUCUCUCUCUCUCCCCCUAUAUAUAUAUAUAUAUAUAUAUAUAUAUAUAUAUAUAUAUAUAAAUAGACAUAAUCAAAGUGAUGUACCUUGGUAACUCAAAUUAGAUACUGUUCUCAUUGAAUUUGAAUUUCCAAAAUUGUCAAAUGCUCAUCUUAUCUUCCACAUUGUAAAAGUUAGUAACAAAUAAACUAUAUAUUAUAAAAUUAGAAAUAACCAAAGUGAUGUACUUUAGUAUAAAUAUGAUGAAGAAAGGAAAAAUAAAAUAAAAAAUUCUUGCAUUGGUGAAGAUGACAUGGUUUUAGUAUUUAUAGUAAUCCAUAAAUUCUUAACUAUUGAAUAAAUAAAUUAAAAUAGUAAUGGAGUAAUCAAUAACUUAUAUUGGUCAUUAGUGUCUUAAUUAUAAUUUAGUAAUACUUUUAAGAAGAAAUAGGGAAAGGUUUAAAUAUUUAAAGGGAUAAAUUGUAACUUAUAUAUACCUAAAAUAAUAAAGGUAUUAAUAGAGGAAUUUAAAGAGAAAUAAUGAAUAGAGGAUAUUUAUUUAAUUUAACUAAAUAUAUGAAGAUAAAAUUAAGAGAAAAAAAAGCUUUAAAAAAAGAUAAAAUAUAUAAAUUCUAAUGCUGAUCUAUGAGGGGUGCCACAUCAGCACUUUUAUAUCCAGAUUUAUAUAUAUAUAGAUUUAAAACUAGUCCUAUUAUUAAAUUAUAGGGCUUAAUUACCGUUUAAUUCACUAUCGAUGAUUUAUGCAAACAUCUUUUUUGGGUCAUUACACACAAAACAAUAGAUCUUUUUUACAAUAUGUUAGAUCGUGAUCUUACAUAAACUCCUAAGUUUUCAGUUUGUUGAAAAGGGAUUUCAUACGUCUAAAAGUAUAUCUUAUAAAAUGAGGAUCAUUUACUAAAAUAGUUAUUCUAGGAAUAAUAUAACAAAAAAUUUGACGUUUACUAAUUACAAUAUAUAUGAUUCAAUAAAUAAUAACAUUGUUAGAAAAUGCAAUUUUAAUUAGCGAAUAGCUACAGAAAAUUUGGUUUGGAUUCUUGAACACGUAAAGUAUCCGAACAAGUUCACAUUAAUUAUAUAAAUAAAAAUAUGUGGAUUUAAAUAAAGAUUCAACUUUAUUUUAAUUGAAUAAUUAUGGAAAGUCGAAAUAUCUAUUGUUUGGCGUUCUUCAGGUAUCAAAAAUGGAAGUUUAAGAUUCAAACGGGAACAAUGGAUAAUCGAGCUGCGUGUUUUGAUAAAUAGCACAUGUAUGGAAUUUGAAAAAUCGGAUACUUUGAAUUAGUUUUUUUUUACCCUAAACAACUAACUAUUAGAAUGUAUGCGUCCACCAAUGAUUACUGGACCAGGUUCCUGAUAGAAUAAUAAUAUAGAAAAUAACUCAAGGUAAAUCAAAUACAAAGAUUUUACGUGAAAUCUCCUUGCUCAAGGGAAAAGAAAAUGACGACCCAUACUCACAAGAUUUCGACCCAAAAAAAAAGCAAACUUUCAAAUUACAAACUCUUGUAACCUAGGAAUUAAACUCUUAUUCCCUUCCCCAUUAUUGUAGCAACUCUACAACAAAGGAAACUAAGAAAUAAUCUAUAUUAUUGUAGUUGAUCUAGACUUCAAGAACCCAACAAGGUUAAGUCUAGCCACCGAUUAAAAAUCUCAAAGAUAGAAACAUAAAAGAGAAGCGACUCUGCUACACAUCAACUAACUCUAGUUGACACUCUCAGAAACUCUACCGAAGAGAACAUCACAACAAGGAUGUAAAGAGGCUUAACUAAAACAUAGAUGAUUUGAAUAACUAACUCAAGUUAAUACGACUCAAACUAAAAACUUAGACAAAAAACAAAUUUACUAUCCUUUAUAACUUAGGAGUAGAUUUACAAUAUAAGAACACAAGACACAAAGCUCAAAAUAUAACAAAAGACGCUUCAACACUCCAUCAGAUCCCUUGUUGAGUAUGAACAUAGUUCUUCCUUGAAUUAAAAUGCCUUUUUUCUUUUAGAGCUUAUGAAUUUCCAGAAUUUAAAACUUUAUUCCAAAACUUAGGUGUGUCUUUGGAGACAGGACUAGUAUAAAAUGGACACAAACCAUUAGGGCAAAGCCAUUGUCUGAGAACCUGCCGUUAUGAAAAGACAUGCACCAACCCCAACAACUUUGGCAGUUUGGGUAGCUUUUUAGAUAAUUGUCUUGUCUUUUUUCACGUACGCAGUCUUUUCUUGAUCAGGACCAUUGUUAGAUCCGAAAAUUUGUUAAUCCUCAAAAUUUCAAAUCAGCUCCAAAAUAACACAAACAAAUAGUGUGGGAAUAUUAUUGCAAAAAUCAUUAGUGAAUUUGAGUGUUUUCAAAAACAUUUUUGGGGCGAGUCUCGGGGCGGAGCGUAUAAAAACACCCGAGAUGCAAAUUGAAGACGUGGAUCCUAUGGACGUAGGUUCUAGAAUUUGAGGCGUAAUUCUUGAGCAUAAACACGUAAGCUCGAGGUAAAAACAUACGCCAAGGGUGUUUUUUUUUUUGAAUUUUUUUGCUUUAAAUCACAUUUUUUAUUAUUGAUAUUUCUUAAAUAAUAAUUAUAAUACUUUUCCUUCGUUAUUAUCUAUUAAUUUCCAUCUCAAAUAAAAAACAAUAAUACUUUUUUCUAUAUAUUAUAGCUUAUUUACUAAAUUUAGUGAAAUUAUUGAAAGUUUUAUUAUUGAUUAUUAACUUAAGUAAUAAAAUUAUAAAAUUAAAUAUACAUGAGAUUACACCUCAUAGAUCCAUGAGACUUACAUUCUAUAUCUCGAGGCCUAUAUCUAGCCGUGUAAUGCAUAAAACGUCUCCUCUCAUGCCCCGUCCUGUAAAACACUGGUGAAUUUUAUCACCUAUUUAUGGAUGUUCCCAAUUCAGCAAUUCUUUUACACCUUUCUCCAAGUCUUUUACUUCUCUCAUCAAACUACUCAUGCAAAAUCCUAUUGAACACAAACAGAUAAUGAUAUUUCUAAUAUUUUCUUCUUUGCCUUCAAUAGAUGUCAUGUUAUCAAUAACCUCCUUUGAGUGCUCAAGAAAAUCACUUGAAGCUUUCCAUUCCUUAUUGCUAGUAGAAGUAGUUGUAUAUUCGCGUUGUGACUUUCCCUCCUCGAGGUCAUAAACAACUUUAUGAUCCUCUGGUUGAUCUUGGAAAGCUCUUGACAUUCCGAUAGAAAUGGUUUUCUCGAUACAUUUCAUUGAAGAGCUAAUCGCAUCAUUGACAAUCUGCCUGUCUUUCUUUAAGUGUUCCUGGAUCUUGUUUCUCUCAGCAUCACAACUAUCUAAUGCUUGUAUGAGGGAUUCUAUACUGUAGGCCAUGAAAUACAGUAAGUGCACGACGUUUGAUAGAGAUCGUUGAAGGUUUUGGUAGCAAGAAACAGGAAAAGGCGUAAACCAGAAACCAGGUUCCAACUCUGCAUCUACUAUGAACUUUUGUAAUUUCUCUACUUGAGAAUUCAAUUGUCUUUGCUUCUUCUUAAAGCCAUUGAUCUGCCCUGAGUCCAAGUCAAUUUGCUUAGUACAACUUUUAAGUGUUCCAAAGCACAGAAGAAGAUGAUUUUUCGCGAUUGUUGCUGCUCGUGUUGGUUGGAUUACAAGCUCUAUGAUGAUGAAACAUGAUAAUCCAAUUAAGGCCUCGGUGAGUCUAGCAAUAGCGAAUUCACUCGGGGGACCAUAUCGUCUUCUGCCUAGAAUCAGUAAUGCUCCGAUAAUUGCUGCAUCUCCUCCUGCUGUAGAGUACAUUUUACUGUGCCUUAAAAUUGACGCGAAAAUUAUCCAAGGGAUCAUAGCUAUGAAUCUUAUUCUCGCGAAAUUUUGAAAAGCAGUGCAGCCUAGUACUCCAUAGACUGAUCCUAGAGCUGUUCCUUGUGCUCGAGCAUUUGCAACCGUAAAAAUUGCUACUUUUCCUGUUUCAAAGCUGAUGGCUGUUGUAAGCCCUGACCAAUAUCCAUUCCGUUUGUUAAAUUGCAGACCAAGUAGUACAGCCAGACCUAAUGAAAUUGAGCACUUGCACGCGAAUACAAGGCUUUCACGGUUCAUUAGGUUAGUCCAAUUGAUGCAGACUCGUUUCGAGCUAACUUUGUCACUUCCUCCUGAAUCUUUGGAUCCUUUAGUCAUGAUUAGAUCAUUUAUGCACAUUUUGAUACAAGACAAGAAGAAAAUUGCUGGUUGAUCUAGGCUUGUCAGGGAAAUUGACUCGGGGGAAAAAAUGGUAAACUCAUUCUCAAAUACCCCUUCUGUUUCUGUAACUAUCAUUGAAUGUGUUCGCAAAAGACAACGAGCUUGCUCCAGUUUUAGACCGAGUAGCUGUAGCACGCGAUGUGAGAAGACACGCAUGAGCUUUUCAUCAAUAAUUGUAGUUUGAAAACAAGGACAAGAAGUUAAAGCAAUUUCCAUUCCUUUCAUUGGACUCUCUAUGUCAUGCAAACCAUUUCCAGGAUCAGUGAAACAGGGAACUAUGAAUCUUAGCCAAGGUUUCUCCCAUCGUAAACUUCCCUGUUCAUGUACAAAUGGAUACUUAGGUUACUGAACGACGAAAGGAAUAAAAAUACUCGCUUACGAAUGCCAAUUUAUAGAAUUCACCCCUCAAAAAGUUGCAUUGUAUAUCGUCGAGGUAUACAACUCACAUUUUGGUAUAUACACCUUAAUAGUAUACAACAAUAAGAAUUUUUCAAUCACACUCUUCGUUGGCAUACAACAUUUGAAUUGCAUACGCCAAAUGGCGAAUGUACAUACCUUCUGGGUAUUCUCUAAAUUGACCUACAACUCUGUACCAGGUUAAAUUGAUCAAAUGGUUGCGCUAGCUAGCUAGGCAUAGACCACGAAAAUGUUCCAUGCAAGAAUUUUUACUUAAUAAGACUAAAUUGGCCUAUAACUUGUCUCUGUAUCAAGUUUGAUAUGGUAACCUGGAAAGCGCGGAGUAAUAAUAGUAUGCUUUUGACCGGCUAACUAAUUGCACUCAUAGUGUGAAAAUUCUUUACUCUAUUAGAUAAUUAAUCGUACCUCUAAGAGUUUUAUGCUCUGAAGAAGCUUGGUUCCUGUUUGGGAAAUUGGUUUGGCUUGAGAUAAGAUCUCCAUAGCUAUUUGUUCAUUUGGAGAAUGGAGGGCUUUGAUGUAAAGAUCCAAUCUCUCUGAAGCAUUUUCAGCAUACAUACCAUAUAGUUUCCUCACCUGUAAGCAUAUUCAAUGAAUAUAUUAGCAAUUGUAUCAUUGUAAACAAGUGUGAUGGUUUUCUUUUAAAGUUAUAUCAAACUAUCUUAGUUGGUGGUGAAUUUUUUAUAUACAUUAGUAAGUUUUUAGAAGUUACACAUCGUGAGCUGACUACUGACAACUAGUGUAAAACUUGUCAAUUCAUGUUCGACUCAUAUAAUACCUUUUUGUUUAUGUUGUGUAGACCUAGAAUUUUUGUGGGACUCACGAUUAUUUGAUUCAUGAAGGACUUCAACCCUUUCAUCUUGCAUUAGAAAAAUAGACUUGUCUUCCUUCUUAUUAUUUAAAAAGUUGGAUUAUUCUUGUUAACAGGCUAGUUGAUGUUGAUGUCACAUGUGUUAAUGAUUUUGUUGGACCAAGUAGACAAUGAUAUUUUUGUUUCCUGUGUAUGAACUUUAAUUUCCAAAGAAAAAUAUCGAAAAAAUUUAAGCAAUAUAGUGUAUGGAUAUUAAUAAACUAGCUGGUUUUAUGAACUACAUUAUGAUCGUCGUGUACUUUUGGACCUAGUAUUCACUAACUACGUUCAUCAAAAUUUAAAUAAAUACUAAAAAAAAUGUGGGUUCACGAAACUAGUGAGUUUUGUUCAUUCCAUGAAUUUGUAUUAAGAAAUCAACAAGAUAUUUAUAAGAAUGUUAUUAUACACCAACUUGAGAUUAGUAUAGGAAAUUAUAAACUUUAAAAAUCUAAAUCCGUCUCUGAUUUGAUGACUUUUAUGUGUAUGAACUUCUAUACAUUUUGCAUUAUUUGAUUGAUUCAUGUAAAUUUUAUCUUAGUAUAUCAUGAUUACCUCAAAAUAAGCUAGCCAGGGGAAGAACAGCAACAAAGCAAGAACAGAAGCCACAGCUCCAAGAGCAGUACUAGAUGCAACUCGUAGAGGGUGCAUCACUAUAUUCACACGGAUUCCAUGAACAACAGCAUCCACAUACACAAUAACCAGCUGCGCGAAAGCAAUCCGCUUACACAUCAAAUCCGUAUUCCCAGGCAACGCCACCAAAAAAGCACUCCCCGCCACCAUCACAGAAGCUACUAGGGGCGAGAAGUUGUUAUCAUCAGUGGCGAAGCCAUGAAUCCAUAACCCAACCAUAGAAAGGGGCAUGACUUGGAGCGUAGCACAACACGCGCUCCAACAGCCCCUUAAAACUUUCCCUAGGGUAGCAUCUGGCACAAUAAUUAUGGCGGUUACAUAUGAAAAGGAGGGAAAUGCCAGAUGCCUUGCAAUAGAAGGCGGGCUGAGUAGGGUGGUGCAGCCGAUUAUUAUGCAUGCUAAGGCGGUGCGAAUAGCAGAAUGUAGCCUCAUUCGCCACAUUGCUUGAGCUCGCUUAGCCAUAGUUGUACUUGCCAUAAUUCAGAUAUAAUCAGAUUUCAAUGAAAUGAAUUUUUAGAAAAAAGAUAACUCGCUCUCCUCUAGAAAUCAAGCUUGAACUAACUCUAAGUCUGACAUUAUCAACAAGUCUAGAGCUGAUGAUUGUUGGUAACGAUUACUACUAUAAAAAUGCAUAUGAUCAAAUGUAGGAGUGGUAAAAUUUAGGAAACUCAGCUAGGUUACAAAUACAAAGUGGAAUUGAACCAGGAAUUUAUAUUGAAUCUUUUUAGUUAAUAUAUGUGUGGAUUCUGGAAUCAAACCUUUUAGGAUAAAAAAAUAAUUUGGGUUUCGGGAUUUGGUCCUCUCCAUGUACCAUUACUUUCGUUUUCCUAAAGUUUUUUAAUUCGAUAGAAGACACAUUCCAAAUUGAAAUCAAUAGUUUAGAUUUAAUUUGCAUUUUUCUUUUGGUUUCCCAUUGAACUAUCAAUUGUUAUGGUUAAAAUAAUAGAUAUUUCUUAUAUAUAUUUGCAAACGAUUUGGAAAUCUCAUCAUGCUAGCUAAAAGGUUGUUUUUCUUCUCUUUUUAAUGUUAUUAUAUUAUUACUUAAUUUGAUUGAUACAGUAUUUGUGGUGCACGAUUGAACAAGAAAGUUACAACAAGGUUCUGGUGAAAAAUAAGAAAAGAGAUUUUAGUUUUAAAUGGAGGAUCCAAAUAAUGUUUAUGUACUCUUUGAAGAAUUUUUUUUUUUUGCAAGACCUAUUUUUGGGAGACAACACUUCCAAAGGAAUUUAUUUCAUUCUUAAUCUGAACCUAUAAUUAAGAGCGGAGAAAUCUCAAUCAUCUCACUGUAAUUUUCGAAGGUAUUGUUGUAACUAUCCCAACUUCAAUCUACUCUUCAAAUAUGAAUGAAUAAUUGUACACUACUCCUAAAGUAUUUUUCAAGCUAAUCGGUACUAAAAUUGUUGAUUUUAGAAAGACAUAAUACAUAUAUUGGACUCUAAACUUGGUUGGCUUCAAAUUUUAAGUUUGACCUCAAACUUUUAUAGUACACAAAUAGACAUUUUAACUAUCCUAUCUUUCAAUAAAUAAACACGCGAUUCCUAUAUGGCAAAAUGCGUGAAAUGCAUGCAUUCUGCGCGAGUGAGAGGUAAUUUUUGAGGCCCACAAGGAUAAAAAAUGGUGAAAUAACAAUUCUACCCUUAAUGAAUCUCUUUUAUAUUAAUUAAAAUUAAUUUUAAUUUUUUUAGUUUCAAAAUGACGUGUGAUAUAUUUUUUUUUUUUAAAAAAAGACAUGUAAAAUGUUUAGUUAGUUGACAGUCACUGACUAGCUCACUAAUACACGUGGGGGCGUUUGCAUUUCACGCACUUUGACUCCAAAAUCGCGUGUUUAUUUAUUGAAAGAUAGGAUAGUUAAAAUGCAUAUUUGUACAUUAUGAAAGUUUGAGGUCAAAGUUAAAAUUUAAAGUCAAGUUUAGGGUCUAAUAUAUGUAUUAUGCCUUUUAGAAACUACCUCGUUGUCAUUCACGAAAAUUUAAUACAUAAAUAUGUCCUUUAACUUGGAUUCAAAUCACAUUUAUGCCCUUCAACUUUGGGUAUGCACAAGUAGACACUUAAACUUAUAUAAAAUUAAACAAAUAGACACACAUGUCCUACAUGUCAUUUUUUGUCCUACGUGGUGUCUACAUGUAUUUUGCCAUGUAGGACUCAUGUGUUUAUUUAUUUAAAAGUUGGAUAGUUAAAGUGUUUGUUUGUGCAUUAUCAAAGUUAAAGGUUAAAGUUAAAAUUUGAAUCCAAGUUUACGGUGUAAUAUACGUAUUAUGCCAUUAAUUUACUCCAUAGUAUUAUUAACCAGAUAUCUAUAAAUUUGAUGUUGUCUUCUAGAUUUCUACGUGCUAAUCCACCAACGACCAAACACAUUAUGGAGAAUAAUAAAAAAUAUUAUGUUGAAUUUAUUCCUUAAGCCUUAUUUCCCACUAACAGGCAAGUUUCUAUAGCAAGUAUGACAAAUUAAUCAUAUGAACAGUUGGGACUAAAAACUUGUCAAAAAGAAAAAAGACAGUUGAAAUAAUUUAAAAGUGAAAGUAGGACAAACAAGUUAAAAUGGAGGAGUAAUAAAGUAAUAAUUAAGUCGAGUAUCAAUUAAAAAUAUUCUUUUUAUCUAUACAAGAUUAUGAUAAAAUUUUCGUAUAUAUCACCCUCACCAAAGUUAUUAUUAUUGCUUAUAAUGUAUAGUUUCUUUUUUGCACAUUUCUAGAAUUAUAUAAUAGUAUAUAUAUCCUAUCAUUGGCUUUUGUAACCGAAUCGUCGAAUAUAAAAGACUUUGUCCAACAUAUAUAUCAAAAAGAUAUAAAAAAACAAUAUACUAUAAAUUAUCUGUCAAGUGGGCUUAGAAUACUUGUUAACAUGAUCAAUUUAUUCAUAAGACGAAAAGUUUUGAACAGAGAUAUUCCUCUUUGAAAAGAAAGUCGGUGAGAUCUUAUUAAUAUUGUGUAAUUGUUAGAAUUAGGUGGUUUGGAAUAUUGAGAUCUUACAUACAUAGAAUAUCUUAUUAGAAAAUAAACUAAUAAAAUGUUGUUGAACAGUUCUAUCACUCGAUUACACAUGUUAUUAGAUGAUAUAUUUUAUAAUUUUUGUAUAAACAAUUGUUAUACGUGAAUACGAUCAAUUUUAAUACUUAUGAUCUAAUGAUUAGCACUACAUUUAUUUUGGAUGUAUUUUGCAAGCGAAUAACCAAUCAUAGCCACACCAAAAAAAAAUCGCUUUUUGGCGCCAAUGCUCUGACUUACCUUUUACUCUCGAUCGCAAUUUCUUUUGAUCAUCUACUGAAUCGCAUCAGUGCCGUUGAUUCAAACCGUUGAAACGGAUCCACGCAACACUUAUGAUUAUUUUCACCGUCGCCGAACGAAUCGUCGUUGUCGUUUUUGAGAUCAACAAUUGCUUCAUCUGUUCUUCUACUAUUUUCUGAGUAUGACUCCGAAUCAUGAUGAUCUCCUUCUGCAGGCCACACAAAUUCCUCGAAUUCGCUUUUCAAUUUCUUCUUUCUACUUUGUUUAUUCAGAGAACUGUUGAUUUUUGCGCGAGUUGCAGAGAGGAGAGAUAGAUCGAAGUAAUCUUCUAACCUCACUUUAACAGCUAUCGAUUUUCUCCUUUUCUGUAAUGGAGAUGAAUCCACGUUCGUUGAGUUAUCCUGCUGUAAUUCAUACCUGUAAGUUACAAAAACAUCCAGAUCUCGUGUGAACAAAUGUGAUUAUACAUGCAUGAUCUGAAUUGAUCGAACAGAGAAUGUGAUUACUUAUGAGAUGCGAUAACAGAGGACGAAGAUUGCUGAUGAGGAGAACUAGUAAGUUUUCUCCGUUUCUGUAACGGAGAUGUAUCUGCAUUCGAUCUGCAAUAACGAAAAACAUCUAGAUUACAUAUGAGCGAUCCACAAAUGCGUGAGGAGCUCAAUUGAACAGAGAAAAGGAUAAUUACAGAUGAGGUGCGAUUGCGAUUGCAAUGACAGAGGACGAUGAUUGUUGAGGACGAGUAAGGCGUUUUUGAAUGUCUUCAAUUGUGGCGAGAGGACUCGAAGCUUCGACUCCAUGUUUAUCCAUCGUACACUAGCUGAUAGUGGAAAGGUAAAAAGUAUGACCGUUUUGCAGAGGAUCGUUCCAGCCAGAAAGUUUAUUUUCCAUUUAUCACUUUAUAUAGUUAAUUACAAUUUUCACCUUUGUUCAUGACUAAAUGUUCAAGUGCUAAAAUCAUUCCAAAAAACAUGUACGUCCUCGAUUCUAAUUUACGUGACAUUCAUCUCUAAAAAUCGUAUUAUUAAUAAAAGGUUCAUGAAUUCAAUCCGCCAAACAAGAUAAAGACUUUAGUUUUCCUUGGAAGAUAAAUAUAAUCAGCUAUACCCCAUAAGUUACCCCUGAGCUUAGGAGAAUCGAAAAUUAUUGUCUCCUUUCUAAAAUGUCAUUCUACCUUAAUUAUCAUAUAAUAAUGCUUGCUUAUUUCACCUUUUUCAUGUAAUUCUAAUUUCUUUUCGAUCUUUUAACAAAAACUAACAAAAAUCGUCCAAUACAUCAAAAGUAAAAAAGGAUUUCCCUUGAUUAAAUCUUGAAUGAGACCCAAUUAGAAAUGGCUGAAAAAAUGACAAAGUAAUUUAGUGCGAGGCUAAAAUAUAUCCUUCUAUGUUUGUUAAUUAAUAAGUUUAUCAUUUGUUAUAGGGAAAAACGAUAAAUAUAUUCUUGAACUAUCGUAAAUGGUAUGCAGAUACCUUCCAUCAUACGUUUGGUACAUUGGUGCCUCUGCCGUCCAAAAACUAGAGAAUAUAUCUCCUUCACUCUAACGGAAGACUAAAUAGGGACACGUGACACGAUCUUAUCUAUCGAUCCGAUAUCGGAUCGGUGAGUAAGAUUAUGACAUGUGUAUGUCUAUUAGUAUAAAGGGUAUAUCCUCUAAUUUUUGGACGACAAGGGCACUAAUGUACGUAAAAUAUGACGAAAGGUAUCUACAUGUCAUUUACGAUAGUUCAUGUGUAUAUUUAUCUGUUUUCCCUUUGUUAUACUAUAGGACCAAAUAUACUUUAUUGUUACCAAAAUAUUCAAAAAUACUACUCAUAUGAUAGAAUUCUCCAAGUCAAUCAAAAACAACCUAUUUAAAUCGAAAUUACCCGUUCACCUAUUUAAACCCGACCCAAACCCACUUAAACAGGAUUAACUCCACCAACUCUACUCGUUUGCCUAAUUGUUUGUGGCCAAACCUGUUUAGUCUACUCGCCUGCCUAAUUUGCAAUUACACUCUGUUUACAGGGGGUUUAAUUAGCACGAGUUUAAUUAAUUUAGGUGGAUCUAGGUUGAGUUUAAAAGGGAAAUCCGAUAAUUUUAAUUAAAAUAGUUUUUUUUAAUUGAUUUGGGGAUUCCAUUCAAAUGGGGGAUAUUUUUGAUUUAUCAAUUUUUCUUAUAUUUAAUACUAACAUCUGGAUUUAAACUUCAAAUUUUAUUUUUAAUGAGAUACUUUAUGUUUGCACAAAUAUCUAUGGCUUAUUUAAAUUUUUGUAGGAAUAAUUUACAAAUACUCCCUUAACAUAUGUAUAUAUUUGAGUAUAAGAUCUUCAAAAUUAUUUAUAAAAAUAAUAUAGUAGUAUAUAUGUAUAUUAAUAAAAUAUAUGUAUAUAAUUUAUCAUUUCGAUUCGAUUAUUUCUAAAAAAAUUAAAAAAUUAACAAAACCACAACCAACUCAUACACUAUCAAUUUUUAAAAUCUAAAAUCAAACCACGUCUAACUUAAAUAAAAAAUUUAUUUAUUUAAUCAAUUUAAUUUAGUUUUUUGUUUGGAUCGAUUUUUAUUCAAACCGUAUAAAGGAAUAUAUUGCACGUUUAAAUUCAUUACAAUUGAUAAAAAAGAAGUUAGUUUUCAUUUAAAUCCUCAGCCCCACACUAACUUUCUAGCCCAACCCCACACCCCUAUCCCUUGCCUAACUCCUACUAUCACUUUAGUCAAUCAUGGGCCUCAUCUAUAAUAUAAGAUAAUUAUAAGUUAAUUUACAUAGUGAUUGUCAAGUUUAGCAAAAUAUUUUCAUCAAAGAAUAUUACAAUGUAUAUUUUUUUUUAAUUAUAGGUUUCGAUAUUAAAUUUUGAAUAUAAAUAUUUUUCAGUAGAAAGUAUUUCCCUUAAAUGAACGCUAAGUAAUGUGAAUUUAUAUUUAUCAAAUAUCAAAAAAAAUUUAUAAACAACAAAUAAUGUAUAGUUUGUAAGAUAAUACUCUCCUCCGUCUAUUUUAAUAGUCUUGGUUACUCAACCUAACUAGUUCAAAAUAGUUGUCAUUUUAGAUAAUUAAUAUAUCCUUAAUUACUCCCUCCAUUUCAUUUUAUGUAUUACUAUUUGACUUGAAAAAUAAUGACUUUUAAAAAUUUUGGUCUAAAAUAAUCCAUAGUUAUUUGUGUUGUUAUAACUCAUUUCUUAAUGAAAAAAAUUGAAAUUAAAUUAUUUCUAGUUAUAGUAACAUUACACCAAAUAAAUGAUUUUUACCAACAAUUAAUUAACGACAAUUGUCAUAUAUUUAUGGAGACAAUUAAAACUUUUUAUAAAUGUCCCUAAAGUCUAAGCGAUAUUGAAUUUAAUGACAAUUAACUAAUGUAAGGUGACAUUUUUGAGGACGAACUAUAAAAAAAAAGAACGUCGUAUAAAAUGGUAUAGAGAAAUUAUUUAUUUUCUCAUUUACCACCACCCAAUAAAUAAGGAGAGAGAUUAAUAUAGUUUUAAAAAAAGUAACAUUUAAAUAUUUUUCUAAUAUGACAAGUAAAAUAAAUCGAAUUAACGUAGAAAUCAUGUUAUAAAUGACCAAAAAUAAAAAGAGUAAGAGGACUUUUUCUAAGUUUGUGUACAUAGGAUCCUUUGCCAAAUGCUCUCUUUAACUUUCCAUAUAUUUUUCCAACAACCUUCUUUCACCUGAACAAACCAUCCACAAAUUACAUCCAAAAAAUUGUAUCAUCCCAAAUUUACAAUGGAAAAUGAAGAAGACAUCAAAUCCAAUGAAGAUAUAGUUGUACCUAAUAUUCGUGAUCGUAAUAAUAUUAUACUAAAUAAUCGUGGUGAUCAAGUCGAGCUUCAAGAUUUAUAUGAUGAUGAUGAUGAUAUCAAGAAGAAACAAGGUCAUGAAAAUUACGCUAAAUGUACUCCAAAGAUAGAUGAUUAUGAAGAUGACGACUAUGGAUUUUUAACUCCACCUUCUUUGGAUCACAAAAUUGCAAAAAUUACAAAAUGUCCUCGAGCACCCGUGAAAAUUACUAGGCCGAUAAUUAGUACCAAGAGAAAAAGUGCAAUUUCGAGGACAUUAAUCUUCGAAGAGGCUAUUUUUGAAACAAUUUGCAUCACAAGGAUCCAAAAAGAUUUGCAUCUUCCAAACAAGAAAUCAAGAAAAAUAGACUGAUGAAACUGAAAUUAUUUUUCCAAUAGAGAGGUGAGAAUUUUUUAGAAUUUUUAACUUGUUAUGCAAUUAUAUAUCUACUCAUUUAUAUUUUACGUAAUUUGUUUCUUCCUUUUUUUUUUUCUCAUUUAAAUAAGGAAGAAAUAUACACUGGUUACGUUUUCCUGCUAUUAUUUGGAAUUGAGUCAAAGAUCCUUCGAGAAUAGCCUCUCUGAUACGAUCUGCGUAUAUUUUACUCUCCUCAGUCUCUAGUGUGAUUUCAGUGGCUAUGUUGUUAGUUUUUCUUUUCUCCCAUAAAGUAUUUGUAGACAAGCAUGCAAUUUGUUAAUAAGCGUUUUGCUCCUCAAGCAAUAUAUGUUUUAUUUUUGUUCCUGGAUAAAAGUCAUUUGAUAUUCGAUAAUAAUUACUGAUCCGAUUAAUAUGAAUUUGCACAAUGUAAACCUACUAAAAGGGCAAACAUUUCUUAUGCAAAAUAUCAUAAAAUAUAAAUUAUUAGCUCAUAUCUAUUUCUGCUCCUCAAUUAAACAAAAGUCAUUUGAUUCUAUAUAAAAAUGCGAUCGGUUAUAAUAUUAUUUUUGAGAAGAGUGCAUAUGAUCAAAAGGAGUAAAAUGAAGGAUGUGCAAUAGCCUUUCUUGGCAAAGCUACUUUUGAUAAGUGAUGCAUACAAGUCAAAUCUUCUUUUUCUUGUGUAUUAUUAAACUAUAGUAUAUAAUAGUUUGACAUGAUGGAAUCCAAGGAAAUGAAUUUUAAGUUCCGUUUGACAUUUCAUCUCCGUGAGAUGGAAUUCUAACUAAUUAAAGUCAAUGCCAUUUGUUAAAAUACCGUACUCAUACGAUGGUGUCAAAUGUCGAACCAUAAAGAUCUAUUAUAUAUUUAUAUGUCGCUUUAUUCUGCUUUUCUGUAAGAGAUUAUUUUCAUAGUUUAAAUCCGUGAACUCUUACUGACAAUAACUUUAUAGACUAUAUAUAAGUAUAUCACUUAAAAAUACUCAUUUUUGAUUUAUAUAUAUAUAUAUAUAUAUAUAUAGCUACAAAUAACAUUCUUUGUAUAUAUUUUUAAAACUUUUAACGAGAUUGAAUCUAACGACACUUAAUUAAUGUCGAUAAAGACUUUAACACUAUUUAUUAAUGUGUUUAUUAUUGUCGUUAAAAAUUAUUUGUAUUGUAGUGAUAUUGGAUUUGUAUAAUGAGCUAACCUUUUUCUUUUAUAACUUUAUUUGAUAGACACAAAAAUAAUCAAACAGUCAUCAUGUUAAAAGAAAUGAAAAUUAUGUGUUACUUACUCCCUUUCUUUGAAUAUCUUUUGGUCUUACUUUCAUUUUUAAUCUUACAAAAAAAAAAAGAAUUGUUUCUUUUUUCAUUUUUGGUAAAUUUUUAAUUUUAACUUUUUACAUAAAUUAUAAUAUUAAAAAAUAUUUUAAUAUAUUUUAAAUAUUUUUAAUUUAAAAUCACAAAAUUAAAAAAAAAAACUGUAUUCCUUAAGUAUCAUGUCAAGUCGAAAUCAACAAAUCGAAAAGAGUAGUUAGUAACAAAUCCAAACUCACAAAGGUAUUCUAUAUAUGUCAUGAUUUGACUCUAAAAAAUUUGGCAUUUCAAGCUUUUAGGUGAACUCAGUUUCAAAGGCUCUAGGGAAUCCAAUGCUUUAUGCUCAAAUAUGAGUUCUCAUGAUUAUUUUUUUUCUUCAAAUUUUCACCUUUUUUUCUCUCUUGAUUAUCUCUCAAAUUCCAGUUUCCAACUUUUUAUUUUCCUUUUGCAUUGACCUGUAUGCUUUGUUAAAUAAUCGAUUCGUUCAUAUUUAUUUGUUUAUGUUCAACAAUCUAUACGACGCAUCUCUUAAGAAUCAAUAAAUAAAAUAACACUUUAUUACAUCACUCCUAAUUAUUGUAAGUCGCUCAUAUGAAUUCUAAUAGUACUGAGAGUAAAAUACAUAUGAAAUAAUUUAAUUUUUUAAAAUUGGACAUAUAUUUUUUUAAUAUAAUGGACUAGUAAAAAUAACAAAGGGAGUACUUUCUAAAAUUUAGCAGAAACACAGAUACAGUACAAGCAAAAUUUUCACUUAAACUAUAGUCAAUUGCUUUGUUAUAUCCCUCAUUUAUAAGCUACUGCAUAAAUUAUUGGUACUAUGAUUUAGUAUCUUUUAGUAUUUUUUUGAGUUCAUACCUCGGAUGGUCACUCAAUUCUCUCGUAAAGUCAUCAACUUUCAAUUUUAACUUGAAAGUCACUUAGCUAUGCACUUCUCUCAGAAAGUCACUCAAUUAUUCCAUUUUUCUUCAAAUGUCACUCAAUCUAUUAUAUUGUUUUUAUAAUUAAAAUUUGUCGAUAUUAAUUGUUUGUAUGAAAAAUAAAAUUUUAAAAAAUAAAAUAUAUCAUUUAAAUCAUUUAGUGAUCCAUCCACUUAAUAAGAUCCAUUAAAAAUAUACUAUGACCCAUUUUAUUUUGCCCUUAAUCCUAAAUUAUUCCCCAUCUUUCUCCUUUGCUCCUCUAUAUUUUUCUUUUUCUUUCUCCAUAUAUCAAGGUGAUUAAUAUAUUAUCGACUAUUGUGUCACAAAACUCACAAGUAAAAGUUAUUUAUUAAGAAACGCGCUAAUCUAACCAACCAAUACCUUUAAGGGGCCGUUUGGUUGCGAACUAGUUAUUUCAGGAUAAACUAUCCUGAGGUUAGUUAUCCUGGGAUAACUUAUUCCACCAUUUAUAUGAGAUAAGUUAUCCCAUAUAAAUGGUAGGAUAAAUUAUCACUUGCGAGUCUCUCCCUCGCCUCUCGCUUAUACAAAUAGUAAUGUAUAAAUUGUGUUUAUAUUUGUAUGAAGCGAGAAAAAAUUGUAUAUACAUAUGCCCAGUUCCUUUCCCUUUCUCUCUUUCUCGCUUUAUACAAACACAGAUUAUUCAAUUGAUCUUUUGUACAUGUAUGCCGAAUCAGAAACAUAUUAUAUACAACUAUUUUCUUUUAUAUAUGUAUAGCGAAAUAUACAUAUUUAUAUUUGAUAUAGAAUAAUUAUGCAAAUUAUAAGUAUAAUACACAAAUAUAAUUUUUGUGUUUGUUAUCUAUGAAAGUUGCUCUAAUAAUGAAUGAUGAUUAAUAGGUCACGUCUUAAUCUUAAUCACAACUGCAUUAUUUUAUUGAACAAGUUUGUGACCACAAUUUUUUCUUAUACAAUUUUUAAAAAAAAAUUAAAUCUAUGUCAACAAUUGUGCUUUCAUCGAAAUGAUUGUUUAGUGCCUAAUUUCUCGUGUUUAUAUAACAUGAAAGAGAAUGUCAUAUAAGUUUAAAUUGUGCGUACCAACAACAACAUAUAAUAUCGAAUUAAGUUAUAUUUGUAAUAAUGGCCGGUUAACUUAUUUGUAACAACUAGCAAACAUGAAAACAAGAUGAGAUAGAAUCAAAAGGGCCUUUCACCUUUAACUAGACAUUUCGUAUUUGAGUUUUGAGAAUGAGAUUAAAAAACUUUCCUAGUUGAUUUUUGCUUUAGAAGUACAAAAAGGUAAACAGUAAUGUAAUUCCAACUUUCAUCACUGAGUGGCAACAACACAAGGUUAUAUACUCUCAUUUGCCUAAGAUUUGGUGGGCAGAGGUGUCUGGUGCAUGUGAUGGUGGGAACAAACUCGCACUGCAACAAAAAUGAUUUUUAGCGGCAUUAAAUAUUGACAUUAAUAAAGAGUGUUAAAGUCUUUACUGGCAUUAGUUAAAUGUCAUUAGAACCAAUAUCGCUAAAGGCUUUAGGGACAUAUACAAAGUGACAAUUGCUGCUAAAAAUACAUAUUUAGCGGCAAUUGAGAAUUAAUUGCCGCUAAUAAUUAUUUUUUAUUGUACUGUCGUAAUUAUCAUACGUAGACCAAGAUAAGAAAUGGAUUUAGUUCAAGAGAAAACACUCCCAAUUAGGUGCUUUUCUAAUUGUUGCCUAAGCUUUGGUGGGCAGAGUUGCGGAAUAAAUAUACCAGUGUAGACCAACACAAGCAAUGUAUUUAGUUUGAGAAUAAAGAAACUCUUGAUGCAUUUAAAAUCAACCAUUGUCAUCAAUUCUUGGAAGUUGUAAGAGAAAAAUAAUUACGAUAAUUCAUGUGUCUUCAGUUAUAUGGUGCUCUCUAGAGAAGAUUAUCUCAUUACGAUACAGCAUCAGCAUCAGCAUUUCACUAAGAUUUACUGGUGGAUGCCUUCAACAACAACAUCUUCUUUGUGUGACGUCUUCCUUUUCCUCUUCUUUUUCACACUUCCCUCGUCAUUAUUUAACUUUUUAUCAUUUGUAACCACGGGCUUCUUUUUCUUCUUGAGUACUGAGAGUGGAUUUGGACCCUGUAGAAGGGAAGGCAUAAACCAUAGAGUCAUUCAGGAACGCGUUCAGCUAAACAUGCAUGAUGGCAAUAACAUCCAUGAAACAUAUUAUAUAUAAGUAAAUGUGGUACGACUUGAUCAAUUUAGAGGAACAACAGGCAAAACAAUUCACUUACAACAUAAUACAUUCAUUUGCGUCACUCAAUCUUUUUCAACUCAAAGUAAAUAGACGGCUAUGCACACAGCAACCGUUAAAUGCAGAAGUAUACUUAAAAGAAAUAAUAUCACACUUACAUAAAAAAACAUAACCACUUAUUUCGAAUAUAUGUCCAGCCAUCUAGCGUAGAGAAAGAAAAAACCUUUUGUUCAGAGCUUACCGAUCACAAUUUGCACACAAGCUAAUAGAAUGAGAGAAGCAACAAGUUAAAUUUUAAGUUGUGCAAGGGAAAAUAAGAAUAUAUUCUGAACCCUGACCUUAGCUUUCUUUCUCUUGCGAACUUUAUCCUUGCGCUCCACAUUUAUAUUAGUAAUCUGAUCCUCCAGGUCAGUUAUAGGAAGACGUUCUUCUUCAGAAGAUUUGGCAAACUGACUUUGAGAUGGUGAAGGGUCUUCGACAAAUGAUUCCUCCUCCAGAGCAGAGAUUAGGGGCACACAAGGUAUCUAUCCAGUUCAGGAAAGGAGAAACGAAGGUCAGAAAAAACAGGAUAAAAGCCAGUUGGCAUAUACAUAAUAAAUUGUUCUCCUAAAUGUUGGAGGUCUUUCAGGUUCAUUUUAAAGUAAUACCUGUUUGCCCAAGCUUUUGAAAUAUCCUUAUCAUGAGAAGUGCUUUUCGGAAAUCAGUGCUUUUCGGAAAAGUAAUUUUGGAGAAUAGCAGUUUGUGCUUUAGUUAAUCAAAUUGAAAAGCACUUCUGUCAAUAUUAGAACCGCAAUUUGUGCUUUGGUCUUGGUUCCAACUUUUGGGAAAAAGCUACUGUUUUCAGCUUCUACUGCUACUUCAAAGCACUUAAAUUUUUUUCCUAAUAGUACGGUAAAACACCUCAAACCUCUAAAAUAUGCACUAAGGAAAAAAAAAAAAGGCAAUUUUGACUGUUAAUCUUACAAACAAGAUAUAAGAUUUACAGAUACAAAAUAGAUUCUGGUCACUCCCUUGUGAGUACUAAAAUUUACAGAAAUGUUUUACAGUUUUAUCAUCUUAGUCCCACAUGCUAAGGCCAACUGGUGAACCACAAUAUAGUUCCUGUAGAUGCACAAAGAUCUCUUGUUUUUACCACUUCCCACAAAGAUCUCUUGUUUUUACCACUUCCCACUUAGAUAUUUAAAAAUAUUUUGACUACUGACAAAAGUCAGAGAUUGUGAGUUCCGCAUUUUGAAAUGGAUGCAACCCUAUUACACUAAGUAGUUGCCGGAGAUUUUUUUCUGACAAGGCAUCUUAAAAUAUGGGAUUUUACAGUGCACAAGUUUUAGUAAGUGAUAUGACAGAUAUUACAAUACAUAUAGGACAUUAUAAUCAAGGAAAGUAAGUUCAAAUACCACUCGAAGACUUCCACGCAAAUCACCAUCUUGAGUUUCAUCUUCUUUCUGUGACGUCUUCCUUCUCCUCUUCCUUUUCACACUUCCCUCACCAUUAUUUAACUUCUUAUCAUUUGUAACCACAGGCUUCUUUUUCUUCUUGAGUACUGAAAGUGGAUUUGGACCCUGUAGAAGGGAAGGCAUAAACCAUAGUCAUUCAGGAACGCGUUCAGCUAAACAUGCAUGAUGGCAAUAACAUCCAUGAAACAUAUUAUAUAUAAGUAAAUAUGGUACGACUUGAUCAAUUUAGAGGAACAACAGGCAAAACAAUUCACUUACAACAUAAUACAUUCAUUUGCGUCACUCAAUCUUUUUCAACUCAAAGUUAAGAGACGGCUAUGCACACAGCAACCGUUAAAUGCAGAAGUAAUACUUAUAAGAAAUAAUAUCACACUUGCACAAAAAAAAAAAUAACCUCUUAUUUCGAAUAUAUGUCCAGCCAUCUAGCGUAGAGAAAGAAAAAAGCUUUGGUUCAGAGCUUAAGGAUCACAAUUCGUACGCCAGCUAAAAUAACAAGAUAUUUAUCAAUCUAGAUAAAGAAAAAUCAUUCUUUAUGAAUCAAGCAACUUUCAGAGUAACUCUUGUAUCCUAGCAAUCGCUCAUGAAAUGACACACACAGAAGUUCCAGAAAAUCUCAUUUAUUAACAUCAUUAUGGUUUCUGAAAAGUUCAUGUCACAAACCAGCAAAAGCUGCACUUCCAAGGAAUUGUCAGGGAUGAGUUUUGUAUCCCAUAUCUUUCUACAUUUACCAGUCACUAACUUAAUGUAUGCUGCUUUGAUAAAAUGUGUGUUUACUUAUCAAAAGAAAGAACUUGUACCAAAGGCAUUGAAAAUUAACGUGUAAUAUUUCACCUGAAAGUAGAGAAUUGGUUCCUAAACAACGCUAUUUAAAUAGAAUGAGAGAAGCAACAAGCUUAAUUUUAAGUUGUGCAAGGGAAAAUAAGAAUAUAUUAUGAACCCUAACCUUAGCUUUCUUUCUCUUGAAGCAAACUUUAUCCUUGACAUCACUUCCAUUCCUCUUAACAUUUUUCUUGAUAAUCUGAGCCUGUGAAACAUCAUGUAUCUUUUCCUCUGAUGCAACGGAAGAAUUCCCUUGUUUGUCAUCGGACAGUCUCCUGUUUUUCAUUAUGUACUCCUGGUAAGCCAUACGAAGACGUUCUGCUUCAGAAGAUUCGGCAAACUGAUAUUGAGAUCGUGAAGGUUCUCCUAGAAAUAAUUUCUCCCCCACAGCAGAUAUUAGGGGCACACGAGGUAUCUACCCAGUUCAGGAAAGGGGAAACAAAGGUUAGAAAAAAACAGGAUAAAAGCCAGUUGGCAUUUACAUAAUUAAUUGUUCUCCUAAAUGUUGGAGGUCUUUCAGGUUCAUUUUGAAGUCAUACCUGUUUGCCCAAGCUUUUGAAAUAUCCUUAUUAUGAGAAGUGCUUUUCGGAAAAGUAAUUUUGGAGAGUAGCAGUUUGUGCUUUAGUUAAUCAAAUAGAAAAGCACUUCUGUCAAUAUUAGAACAGCAAUUUGUGCUUGGUCGUGAUUUCAGAAGUGCUUUUGGGAAAAAGCAACUGUUUUCAGCUUCUAUUGCUACUUAAAAAGCACUUAAUUUAUUUUCUUAUAAGUAUGGUAAAACACCUCAAACCUCUAAAAUACGCACUUAGGAAAAAAAUAAGCAAUUUUGAUUGUUAAUCAAACAACCUAUAAGAGUUACAGAUACAAAAUGGAUUCUGGUCACUCCUUCGCAACGAGUACAUAAAAUUUACAGAAAUAUUUUACAGUUUUAUCAUCUCAGUCCCACAUGCUAAGGUCAACUGGUGAAUCACAAUAUAGUCCUGUAGUCUGUAGAAUGUAGAUGCACAAAGAUCUCUUGUUUUUACCACUUCCCACUCGUUUUAAAAAUCUUUUGACUACUGACAGAAGUCAGAGAUUGCGAGUUUCGCAUUUUGAAAUGGAUGCAACAGAUUAUUUCACUAAGUAGUUCCUGAAGAUUUUCUGACAAUACAUCCUAAAAUAUGGGUUUUUUCCAGUUCACAUGAUAUGACGACAUUACAAUACAUAUAGGACAUUAUAAUCGAGGAAAGUAAGUUCAAAUACCUUUCGAAGACGUCCACGCAAAUGACCAUCUUCAGUAGCAACAACAAAGUUUUGAGAAUUUUUCUGCCCAAUAACUUCAGUUAUGCAAUCUUCAGCACGUUUCCAUGUUUCAUGGCCGCAUCUUCAAUAGAGUAAGAUGUGGCAUAACUCAAAAGACUGUUGUGAGAACUGAAGCAACAUACAUCCUGCUCUGGAGAGAAGCAAUAAGAAGAAGAGAAUAAAUGCUAAUCGUGCAACAGUACAAAGACUUUUAGCUGCUUCCAGUGCUUUGGAUAUGGGAAGACUCUCUGCUUCCUGUUUGGAUAAGGGAAGACUCUCUGCUUCCAGUGUUUUGGAUAAGAGAACAAACUCCAACUCCGCAAGAAGGCAUCUGAAGGAAAGAGGAGACAGGAAGUGACCAAACAGUUUAAAAUCGAAACAUAUUUAGCUUUUGUGCAAACAAAGUUAGAUCAUGUAAAGACCAUAGCAGAAAAGAGACAAAUGGAGCUGUUGAAAUAAACCUGGUUGUAAAGAGUUCAACUCUGGCGCCAAGACUAUUUUCCAAUGCAGUCUUAAGUGGUAUGUCUUUAACAACAAGUGUAUACACCAAUGUUCCAUCACAUAAGAUCUUAAACGGCUCUCUAAACCCAAAACAAGUUUUAUAAAACUUCAACGCUUUCUUAUGUUGUUUCUGUUUUUUCACUCUCUUCUGUCAGCAGGCAAGAGAAAGGAGAAAGAAAAAGAAGUUAAAACUUCAACAUAAAAUGAUAAAAAGAUACAUAUGAAGCUAAGGUCAAGUUUAAUCAAUAGAAUUUUAAGAAAUUCAUUCAUGACCAAAGGGAUAUCUAAUUUGAUAAAUGCAUCCAUAAAUUGCAACAACAUACAGUAGUUACUUACAAGAAACUGAAGGAAUUUUCAACUGGAGAACACUGCAACACUAUUAGUAAUAAUAUAAAGAAAAACUAUAUAUUUGAACGGCAUCAAAAAAAAAAAGAAGUAUAAUAAAAACAGAGACAGAAGAUAAGGACCCGAAUAGAUCAUGGACACACAGACACCUUAAUCUGAAGAGUUCAAAGUUGAAAUUCAUAACUAGCAAUAUAUCGAAACUCAAGAAGUCAUAUCAUCAAAUUUCAUAAGCUUUGAAGUCUACGCACCAAAAGAAAAAAACUUUCAGGCUUAACCCAAGAACUCGCUCAAAUCUUGAUGUUAAUUCAAGCCUAGGGUUAGAUUAAUUCUCCAAUGUCAUAAAUUCAAUGAUAUUCAAACAAUACACUAAACUUACCUACUUAAUAUACCAAAAGUUAAAAAAUAAUAAUCAACGUUGCAAAACCUAUGUUAAUCGCUGGAGAACAGAAAUUGCAGAAUUUGUCAAUUCAUCAAUUCAAUACCGUCUAAUCAUCCUAUUGAAGUAAGCUGUUGCAGCAAGCAAUUCUUCAAAAUUCGUAACGUGCUUACCGGAUUCUUCUUCAUGUUGCAAAAGACUUCAAGAUUUUUUUAUCACAGUGAACUAAGCCGCUAUUGAAAUCAGAGGAAGAGAGAAUUGGAAGCUUCUGUAUUUUACUAUGGAAAACUGAAUACAACGAAUGAUAUGAAGCAAAUAUAUAUAGUUUGACAUCAUAUACAAACUACUCUUUACUUUAUAACUAACUAUAACUAACUAUAUGUAACUGACGGUAACUAAUUGAACACUAAUGACUUAACUACCGUUAAUUAACCACUUAACUCCUCACCUCACUUUGUUUAUUACUGAUCAUGUUGUGACCUCCUAAGGGGAAGAUGGUUCAGAAGAGCGAGAUGAAAAGUAUUCUUACUACUGUAAGCUGAGAGCAAUAAUGCAAUCCAGAGCAGGAGGAGGCGCAAAUGGUGGUUCAACCACAGGCCGGAGCAUUGCAGGUGGCCGGAAUCGAGGAGAUGAUGAAAAGGAAACCUAAGCUAAUCAUGUUAGCCGGAAUCGAGGAGAUGAGUUUUACUACUUGUUUUAUGAACUCUUUGGCUGUUUGGACUUGGGCUUUAGGCCCAAGUAUGUAACUCUUUUCUUUAUAGGGAAAAAUUGUGCAGACAAAUUAUUAAUUAACUUAAAAUAAAUAAAAUUAUUAUUAUUUUUGAUUAGUUUGCUAAUUAUAUAAUUGGUGUCAUUCGAAUAUUGCUUUUGAGAUUUUUUUUUAUAUCAAUAUAUAAGCUUGUACUUUUCCACUUUAAUUCUAUACAAUUCAGCGUAUAAUAUCUAUUAAGUCUUUAUACUGAUACAAUUAAUAUGACAUACAUGUAAAAAGUACAUGAUUAAAUAUAUAAUUAAUUAAUUAUCAUCAAAAAUAAAUAAUAUAUAACAUUUGUGAACUAAAUCAAUUUAAUAAUUAAUACAAAAGUCCAAAGUGUUAACAAAAUAAUUUUUCCUUACCACAAAAAACUGUUACGGUAAUAAAUUUGAAGAUCAUUAAUGCGUAUUCCUUUUCUCAGUAUCAUUAAGUGGCCAUAAUUUUUUUCCUUGACCAAUGAAUUAAGAACACAUUCCCAUCGUAUAUAUAUAUAUAUAUAUAUAUAUAUAUAUAUAUAUAUAUAUAUAAUGGGAAUUAAAAUAUUACAAAAUAUAUAAUUAUUUAAAUAUUAAAUACUAUCAUCUGAAUUACAUGAAUAUGUAAUGAUUUUUUAACUUCAUUCAACUAAUUUUUGACUAAAUAUCUAAUUUGUUAAAAAAAGUUAAGUUACAUUAAAGGGUGAGUAAAAAAAUCAUUAAGUUAAAAAGUUCGAAUUAGGGUACAUGUACAUCAAUUUUUUAUGAGCAUAUCUAUAUGGUUAUAUCAAAAUUUUAUUGAUUUAAUGGCGCAAAAGAUUUAUGAUUCGUAAAUAUAUAUUUUUUAAUUUGCAUUUUUACAAGAAAAUAAAUGGUACUUUAUAAUGCAAUGAAUAAUUAAUAUUGUAGAAAAGUCUUUUCAUCUACUCUUAUUGAAAUUCUUCAAUAUUAACUUACCAAAAUAAAGUUAAAAAAGUACUUUAUAGAGUAACACAUUAUAAUAAUAUAGCCAAAUUUUUGUCUACUCUUAUAAAAAUACUACUUAAUGUUUUUGAUAUUUUUAAAAAUUGUUCUACCUUUUGUGUUUUCAAUUUAAUUGCAUUGUAGCGAUAUAUUUAUAUAAAUUCAUAUAAAGUGUUUGCAAAGAAUGUAUCACAAUUUUUGGGAAUUCAAGAAAGAAACAAAAUUGUCAAAAUUAUUUCUUUUGUUUGGUAUGUCUAUUGCUUCUUUCUUUUCUUUUUUUCAAUUGAUUUACGAUGUACACAACUAAUUUGUUGUUGUUUUUUUGACAUCAUAUAAGUUCAUUUUGACUUUUUCGUAUUUCUUAGUUUUUUUUUUGUAUAUUUUAAUGUAAUGUUAUUGCUUCACAUUAUAUUUACUUGAUAUGAGCAUGAAUUUAUAUUUUAGUGAUUACAUAUUUUUACAAAGUAUUAUAAUUUUUGGUGUCUUUUCAUAAUUCAUAUCCUCUUAUCACUACAUUCUAUGAGUAUAAAUAGAUUAAACUCUUAUUCAUGUUAUUUGAAAAAUAUAAUAUUGAUUGAUGUGGAAUACACAUGCAAAGCACGUGUCUAGAAACUAGUAUUAUUAAAAAUGAGAAUAAAAAAAUUGAAAGUUGAAACGAUUUUACCCCUUCUAUAAAAUAUUUUUUUCGGUUGGAUGUUCUCAAAUUAACUUAGUUGAUUCAAUUUUUAUUAUUUUUAAUAAAUAUUAAAAAGAGAUAAAAUAGAAAGAAAAAAACAAGAGUGUGCAGGUCUUCUUCUCUUUGGUGAAGACGACGACUUGAAAGAGGUGGAUGGGGUUUUUUUUUUUUUGUUUUAACAAUUAAUAUUAAUUUUAAAUUAAAAAAUUAAACUAUUUAAUUGACGAGUGGAAAAAAAUAUUAAGUUUCUUUUGAAAAAAUAAAAAUAUAAUAAUAUUCAGAUUUUUCAUGCGCUUAGUGAAGUGAAAAAUAAUUUUUUGCCACAUCAAUAUUUGUGUUUAAUAAAUAUACUCUUUUGAAUUAUUUAAGUAUUUAAUAUAUAAUAGUCAUAAUUGAGAUAUUUAUAUGAAAUAUGCAUAUAACUUUAAGGAGUUAGGAGUUACGAAUAAUUAGUAAAUAUGUAAUAGUCGUAAUUGAGUAUAGUUGUUUUGUUUUGUUAGUUGUCAGCGGGAUCUUUUUAGUUUUAUAAUGCUAAAAAAAUUCAAAAGCCAUUCAAAUAUUACUCUAUAAUCUAAUUAUCAAAGACUGAAUUUUAUAUUUAAAGGGAGGAAUUAGAUGAUUAAUAAAAAUUGUAACACUUUACUAUGAUUAUUGUAAGGUUCUAUUUACCUGAUUAUUAUUUUCUUGACAAUUUUUUAACCAAUUCAAGCAUGUAUUUCAUAUCUUUAUUUCUUUUUUUAAAGAAAUAAUUUAUCUGUAUCUAAUUAUUUGUCCAUCUCUGAAUUGACAUAUCUAAAAAAUAAUUUAUUAGCAUAAUGAAUUUAAUAUUUUACUCUUAUUAACUAUAAAGUGAAAAAAUUAAUAUUUUUAAGAAAAUGUAUCUUUUUCAAAAUAAUUAAAUGAGGGUAUAAUAAAAUUCUUACCCUUAUUAAUUACAAAGUGAAUGAACUAAAAAUAUAAGAUUUACAAAAAAAUUUAUAUUUUUCGAAGUAUUUAAUGAUAAUAAUAUAUUAAUUGUAUUCUUAUAAUUAAAUUUGAAAAAUAAUAAUAUAUAAAAACCUAUUCAUAUUUUAAAAAGUAAAAAAAAAUUAUUUUGUAUAAGCGGUUAGUACAUAAAGAGGGAGAAACGGAGAACGGUUGGCAUACAAAUGGCGCCAAAACUAAGAGAGAAAUUGUUCAUUAUUUUCCACUCAUCAAAAACAGAUAAAAUUACUAUCGCUUUAUCUAUUUUUUGUUUCUUCAGAUUAUGACAUUUCUGCUAUUGCUAGGCAUAUUAUGAAGGUACGAGGAUGACAUAUAUUCAGUAUUUAAUUUAAUUUUUUCCAAUUUUUCUGAAGAUAUUUUAUUGUGAUGGAUCUCAAAAUUUAUUACCCAGAAACAAAUUAAAUUUUCAAAGUUUACUUGUUAGAUCAAAUUAGAUGUCCAGCACGAUUUACGAGGUGGAUCGGGUUAAUCUAAACCUAAAACUUCCUAUGUGGAAUAUAGAUUUAUAUAUAAAAUUGUCAUGUAUGAACUAAUAACUUGAAAAUACAAUGGGUUUAAUGGUUGAACGUAUAGAGAUUAAAUACUGGAUCCGCCCCUGAUGGGUGGUUUCGUUUAAGGAAAAUAUUUUUUCCAUUAAAAAAUAGAUUCUUUGGAAAUUCUUUUUCCAAUAUUUGGUUUGGUAUGGAAAAAUAGGUGACAUGAUAAUUGUACAAAGUGUAAUAUAGAUUGUAAAGUAAUACUCACAACAAUAACAAAUGAGUGAAAUCUCAUAAAUGGGAUCUGAAAAGGACAGAGUGUAUGCACAUAUUAUUCGUAUAUCGUGGAGGUAGAAAUGCGUCUCUGAAUGACCCUUGGCUCAAAUAUAGCAUAUGAGAGCAUGCAAAAGUAAAGAAUAAGACCUUGCAAAUAAUACCAAUAGCGAAAGUAAUAACAAGUGUUUCUUUGAAGGUAUUCACAUGUUCCUUUAAUGAUUUCUUUGGUCCUUCGGAAAACAACCUAUCUACUCCACGAGGUAGGGGUAAGGUCUCGCGCAUGAAUUCUUACAUUCCCUUUUAUUUUUUAUUGUGUUCUGUUAGCACCUUGUUGAUCCAUCAGUUUUAGCUAAUCCGGUAUAAUUCACAUGUAUCAGGUGUAGGAUGCUGCAAAACUCUAAAUCAAUUAGGUAGUAUCUGUAGCUUGUUCACAAAGAGUAUAUUGUAACACAAUGGGGAAGGGUUUGAGAAGUCGACGAGAAUGUAAUCCUCCGGGAUGCAUGUUUGGGAUACUUCAUCAUUUAAAUCAACAACAUCGGUGGCAUCAAGUCAGGAAACGCCUCCCGUACAUCAAGCAGGGCGGUGCAAAGCAUAUUGUUGGUAAGAAAAGCAUUAGUUGUUGGUAGAUAUAGAAAUGAUCGGAAACAGACUCUGUAUCCCACAAAGAUAGGGGUAAGGUCUGCGUAUAUCCUAUCCUUCCCAAAUCUCACUUGUGGGAUUAUAUUGUGUAUGUUGUCAUAGAUAUAAAAAUGAUCAUAUUUUCAUUUUAUAUAGGAGAGGCUUAAACCUAUUUAUUGUGAAGUAGAAUUGUCCAUAUUCAACUUAUCAUUUUAUUCAGUUGGCACCAGGAAUUUUGCUAAGGGUAUUCAAGGUUUAAAUAUAUGUACAAGAAGUAAAUCUUGACUUACAUACUCGGUACAAUUUUCCGAUGAAGGAUGUCCAGUCAUGCUAUACGCCACUCCUUUUAGUUAGUCCUUGGCUACUAACAUGAUUUGACACUUGAAACAAGUGAGUAGAAAAGAAAGUGUGAUAUACUGUGUCAUUUUUUUCAGCGGCAGGAGAUCGUGGGAGUAAUGCAACUGCAACUGAUUCUUCUAACACUCCAGAAAAAAUAAAUGUCAAAUCGGAAGAUUUCCCUGUAAGUAACCUGCUUCAUGCUUGCCUCUUGUUCUUCUUACGCUUCUGUUUUGUCGUUGUUUCUUCUGAUACAUGUGCAAAGAGACAACAUGUGUUUUGCACAUAACUGUAUAUGCUAACAAAUUCAUUAUUUCAGAUUGUAGUGAAAGCAGAAGCCAAAACAGUAGCCACGCAGCAAAAAAGUUCAAUAAAAUCUCGUUUAAAAACUUUGAUCACAAAAGAGCUACUAUCUAGUAAAAGGGUCCAACAUCGCCGAACUUUGUCCUGUCCUAUAACAAUGCCGCUGGAACAAACUGCUCCUAUUCGUUAUCUAGGCCCUGCCAAUGUAGAGCAUUCUCCGAAAAUUCGUCUAAAUGAUGAGAUAUUGCAGCAGCCUCAGAAUAAGAAUUUGUCCGUUGCUAGUUUGUUAGAUCCACCCCUGCCGGAGAAGAGAAAGGAUGCUGUUACCAACAACAAGAAAUGUGAGUUGUGUGCUUCUAUGCUUGAUAUGAAUCACUUAAAGCAAUGUGAUACUAAAAAGAAUGGGAAACAACCAAGUACAAACUUCAGUUUUCGUCGUACACAGUCACUUUAUCUUAGAGAGCAGACUAAAAAUGUGUCAGUUGAAGAGUCGAAGCUAUUCUUGGAUGCUCUUGAUUUACUAAACAUGAGAGAGGAGUUGUUCCUUAAAAUAUUACAGGACCCGAAUUCUUCAUUAGCACGUCAGUUACAAGGUACACGUGCAUCCAAAGGCUUAACCAAGUCCGUGUCAUUUCCUUCGCGUUUGUCACUUGAAAAAAUUGCUGCCAGGUCAAGCAAUGAUAAGAGCAGCCAAGAUAAGUCACAAAUUAGAGGUAAACUGUUGGGGUCAGCUGGAUUUGAAUCUGCAGAAAAGUUGAAUAGACAUUUAGUAGCGAGGAACAAGGAGGAAGUCACAAAAGGUGUACUGACAAGACUUGAAUCAUUUGAUAAGCUCCCUCCGAGUUCACCAGCUGCACUCAAACACAAGCGCCACAAUAGUAAACUUGUCCUUGCACGUUUCAGGAAUUUGAAGGAGAAAAUAACACAUGCUCUCAAGGAAAGCCGUAAGGAGAAGCAUCGGAUUGCUAUGGAUGCUGUCCUUCAUAAGGUUCCACACGGUCAUAUGUCAUUGAAGAAUGUUAAACCAGAUGGAAGUGACGGAUCAUUUUCAGAAAGUACUGGUAACACUUCUCGCUGUCAUUCUCCAUUUAGCAAGAGUCAGAUGAAAUCCUUUAAAAGAACGUCAUCGCUCAAUGACUCGUUGGACAGUUACAGUAGAUUACUUGAAACCUGCUUUAGUAGGGAUGAAAAACAGAACAGCUCCGAAAGGUCGAGUUUGAGAGCAUCUAGAUCACCUUCACCAGCUAGAAGUAGGACUAUAGCCCUGGAAAGGAUUCUUUCCUUACCUGAUCUUAGGCAUUACUCUUCUUUCCGAAUUGAGGAAACUCCCGAAGCUAGCUAUUCAGAAACACUCGAUACAGCUGCUUCGACUGCAUCUAGCAGCAACUUAUAUUCAGGGGCUACCAGGUCCAAUGAGCAAAAGUCCCUGGAUAUUCCUUUAGGUUCAGAAAAGAAAACUCAACAAGAUUCAUGUUCAGACUCAAAGAUUCUAGAAAAUUCUCUUGAUGUUAGCGAGAAUUCCGAUGACAUUGGUGGCUUAAAGGCAGAGGAGAACUCUUUUCCAGUUGAAUACAAUAUGGAUGACAAUUUAUCUACUAACUCCACUUUGGAUAAACCGAUUUCGACUACUUUGCCUGAUAUGAUAAUUCAAGAAGCUAGUACCAUUCCAGCAGAUCUCUCCGCGAUUGAAGGUAUUAUUUUGAGUCAAUCUUAUAUUCUUCUCCCAUUCUCCAUACAUUUUACACAACCUUAACCACUGAGCUAUCUCUCUCAAUUGUUUCAUUUUGUGUUAAAAGUUAAAUUAUUAGCGUAGAAAUCAUAUUUGACCUAUAUACUUGUGUUUUCAUCACUGCUCACGCUAUCAAUGACCCCAACAUGGUAUUAUCCUUUAGUCGUCAUUGAAAAUUUUGUUGGCAUUUAUGUUAAGAUAAUGGUGAUCCCGCCGUCUUCAAAUCUUGGGUCCGCCUCUGGUGGUGCAUAUUUGCUGCAAGCAUAUUAGAACGAAAACCAAAACUUCUAAAUUUCUGCAGCAAUGUUGUUAUUUUUUGGCUAACUAACUGAAUGUUUCCUCAGGUAUAGCGGAAAAUGCAUUUGAUUCCAAUGAAGAAGAAAUAUUAGACCAUGAACAGAUGACAAGUCUAUUGCAAAUUCAGGUGGACGAAAAAAACAAAGCUGAAUUCAAUUAUGUAAAAGAUGUACUGAACCUAUCAGGCUUUAGUGGAAAUGAAUUUAUGAACCUUUCAGUAUUUGAAGAACUUGGAGGAUCUUUUCUUCAUCAACCCGAAUGUUCAGGAUACGCUGAAGAAAGGGGGAACUAUGAUCAACUUCUUCUAUUUGAUUUGAUCAAUGAGGUCUUACUACAACUUUACGAGAGAUCAUCGUUAUACUGGCCAAAGGCCUUAACGUCUCGUUCUUAUAUACAUCCAAUGCUACAUGUUGGAUACUAUCUGCUUGAAGAGGUAUGGAAAGAUGUAAGCUGGUGGCUCAGCUACAAACUGGAGAAUGAUCAAUCAUUACUUGAUGAUGCUGCGAGCCGUGAUCUGGAUAAAAGGGACAAUUGGAUGAACCUGCAAUUUGAUGCAGAGUGUGUUGGAUUGGAGCUCGAAGAACUCAUAUUCGAUGAUCUUUUAGACGAGCUAAUAUUCAUCGACGUUUAUUAGUCCUUCUCAGGUAGGUGCAUUACAUUUCUUUUCUUCUUCAUAGAAAUUGUUCAGCCAGUUCUCUCUCAGUUGAUAGAGUAUAGGCAAAAAACUAGUGAUUGAGUAAAUAUUUCGUAACAAAAUUGUUCUAAACUGUAUAGAUUUAGUAGAUUAAGCUCGGCGCAUAUAUAAGAAGAUGCAGUUGAGUUUUCUGUAGUAUAACUAUAAUCGAGAAGUGGAGAAUGCUUAUCAUCCAAGCAACUCCCUCUUGUCGUUAUGUUCCAUUGGAAGUACUAAUAGAUGUAAGAUAUCCUGUUCAAGUGAAGAUCUGUAUUUUGUGCUCUAUUUUCAAGAAAUGUUUGUGGGAAGAUUUCCAAAAGGAUUCUCAAGUUAAGUGAACAGUAUUUGUAAUCUAUGAUUUAUUUAUUUUUAAACUCUAUGGACACAACAUCGGAGAAUGAAAAAUAUGUAUUAGCUAUGAAGAUGAGGAUAACCUGUAAUUUUGUGUUCGGUGAAAUAUAUAUUGUAAAAUUAGUUAAACACAAGCCCGUCUAGCUCAGUUGGUAGAGCGCAAGGCUCUUAACCUUGUGGUCGUGGGUUCGAGCCCCACGGUGGGCGUUUUUUGAUUUUUUUUUAAAAAAAAGUUUAUCUAGAGCAUGUAUAAUUCAAUUAUGAUAUAUCUGAUAAUCUUGGUGGGCGUUUCUGGAUUUUUUUUAAUUUUUCAUAUCAUUCAACGAGGGUGUACAUUCGUCACUUGGUUCGUUUUAUUAGGGUUUUGAUUUUAAAUACGCUAAAUCAAUAACAAAUCAAAAGAUAUUCUUUAUAGGAUUGGUCAUUAACGGUUCGAUUUUCGAUUUAUCCAAUAAGCAAAUGCCUCAUAAAAUAAAUAUAUGAUUUUAUACUUCUCUAACAAUUAGGCACGAGGCAAUGAAACAAUCAAAUCACCUGCAAAAAUCAGAAAUUAGGUCAGUAAGAGUAGAAGUACUAUGAUGUGUGUAGAUCAUGUAGAAGUACUGAUAUAGCAUAAUAUGAAAUUUCUUAUGUGAAGUAGAAGUACUAUGAUGUGUGUAGAUCUGUAGAGUACCGAUAUAAUGUCUAGUUAUAUUAAAUUAUUAAUAUUUAAUAUUUAUGAAGGAUAAUAUAGUUAUGAGUUACAAUCGUCUUAUUGGGAUAACGAUUUAUUCAAUAUCCCAAUACUAAAAAUAAAUACCAAAUCGAUAACCAAAUAAUUUAAUAUUUUUUUCGAUUCAAUUUUUGCACGCCCGUAUAUUUUAACUAUGAUAUAUCUUUCUGUUCUAAAUUCUAGUUCUCUAUUCGAGAGUAUUAAAUUUGUUCCUAACCAACAUUCAUGCGCUAUACCUUUCCGUUCUAAAUUCUAAUACUCUAUUCCUCUAUUCAAGAGUUAUCUUUAUUUAUCAAAUUUGUUCCUACCCAACAUUUAUUAUGCUUCAUUGUAUUAAAUGAUUAAAAAAAAAAAAACCAUUGUUGAGAAAAGAUGGGUCUUCAACAAAAAAAAACUAUUUAUCAGUUCUUUUUUAUCCUGUGGGGAAGAUUAGCUCUUAAAGAAAUCCACUACUAUUGAAUCCUUUCUUGGCAGAACUAGUAGAAAUGAAUACCCAGUUAGUUAAAUGAUUUUUGAGUUUAAACGAGCGUCAAACAGAAGAUAAUUUUAGGAGCAAUUUCACUGAUCAAAGAGCACAAAUAAUUUAAGAAUUCCAGAAAUUCGAAGGCGGAUAAACUAGACGGAACGGUUAGGAGCAGUGCAAAAGUAAGCUUAGAUAAUAUUUAAGUGCAACUCAAAAGCCUUGGUGCUCUUCCAACAUAUUGUUGAUAAGAUCUCAACUUAUAUCUCCAGAUUGAACUGUGUUUUUGUGUGUGUGGUGGGGGUGAGGGUGAGGGUGAGGGUGAGGGUGGGAGUGGGGGUGAGGGUGUCAUAUUAUCAUAUGCCUGCUUAGACUAUAAUUUACACCUCUAAGGAGACAAAUUGGAUGGAUCAAAACUAUAUCAAAACACACUUUAUU